rnacentral:lncRNA from 1 species
UAACAAUAUGUUUGAAGGUCAAAUUCCAGCUUCUUUAGGUAAUGCUUCAGGGCUACAAAUAAUAAUGUUCUUAAACAAUGCAUUCGUUGGGAAAAUUCCUCCUUUGGGAAAGCUUUCCAACCUAAAUUUCUUAGACCUAGGGAGUAACAGGCUUGAAGCAAGUGACAGUGAUAGCUGGGAAUUCUUACAUGCACUAGGGAACUGUAGUUAUCUACAAGAUUUCUCACUAUCACAAAAUCAGCUAGAAGGACAUAUACCAGAUUCAAUUGGCAACCUAUCAUCCAAUCUUCAGAGUCUCGUAUUUAGUGCAAACAAACUAUCUGGCAUAGUUCCUCUGAGUAUAGGGAACCUUCAAAACUUAACCUGGCUAGGGCUAGAUUUCAACAAUCUGACUGGUCCAAUUGACGAGUGGAUUGGGAAGCUAACACAACUCGUACAUUUAAAUCUUGGUGAGAACGACUUUAUUGGGCCAAUCCCUCCAUCUAUUGGCAAUCUCAACCAAUUAGCAACACUCUUUCUAGGAGCAAAUGGAUUCACGGGUUACAUACCGCCUAGCUUGGGAAACCUUCAGUACCUAGUCAAAUUGGAUGUUAGUUUCAAUAAUCUCCAUGGUAGCAUAUAUACAUAAGGAGUUAUUCAUCAGUGUAGCAACAAUGAUAGUAUGUGCAUUGACCCAUAACGAUUUAGAUGGUAAUCUUCGACAACUCUCAGAGCUACACCUUUCAUCUAACGGGGCAUAUUCCCGACAGUUUGGGGGCAAUUUCAGAGAUAGAAACAAUUCGCACGGACCAUAACUUUCUCACAGGUAAAAUUCCGAUAUCGUUGAGCAACAUGAAGAGCUUGAGCAUUCUCAACCUUUCCCACAACAAUUUGUCGGGUACCAUCCAUAUGGCCAUAGAUAAUCUACAAGUUCUCACCCAUUUCUCACCCAGUUAGACCUAUCGGACAACAACCUCAAAGGAGAAGUACCAACUAAUGGGGUAUUAAAAAAUUCUACGGCAAUACCACUCAACGGCAAUUGUACCUCUGUGGAGGAUUGCCAGAUCUGCAUAUGCCCCCUUGCUAUACUGAUUUCCAGAGAAAACAAAUACAAUACCACUUGGUCAGAGUAUUGAUCCCAGUAUUUGGCAUCAUAUCAGUUUUAUUGUUGUUUCACUUUUUACUCAUAGAGAGGAAGAUUUCAAGUGGAAAAUAUUUAUUGCGGCUCUCUUUUGGCAAACAUUUAUCUAAAGUUUAUGUUGAUGGAAAAUCUGACGCAACACAUGAAGGUCUGAGAGAUCUGCUUAAUUCUAAUGCUGGUCCUAAAAUCAGGUCCAGAACGUGCCAGUUAGUGUGAUCCUACGACUAACAAGAUAGAUAAAUUAAAUCACAAGGCCGAUCGGCCAAGGGGCCGAUGUGAAAUCGUGCGUCCAGCUAAUGCUGAUGGAAUUCGGAUCAAUGGCUAUGUAGCUGAUGGGACUUUAGAUAUGUAAUAUAAAACAAACUAUAAUAUCAUCGGCUGAGACUAAAUAAAAUAUAAUUGUUAAUAAUCCUUUCUUUAAUAAAGACAAUCUUGAUAGAUCGUGCUAAACCGAGAUAAUAUAAGAUUGAAACUAAUAAUGAUAGACUUAAAUAAAUGUUUAUAUGAUGUUGAAUAUUAGCUAUGAAGUGAUUCAAUCAAUAGUAACUUAGAUAACUCAUUGGCUGAAAACUCCGAUGAAACCUUAGACAAAAUCUAUCAAUCUUUUUUCGUUUUCCGCUUCCCCUAUUGUUCUUAUCAAUUCCUCUUCCUCCUUCCUUAUUUCCAAAUAUAUUAACGAAUCAAGAUCCAAUAAAUCAGACCUAACCGAGAUAGUACGAGAUUAAUGACAAGUUUAAUAGAUCUAAAUAAGCUGAUAGACUCUGUAUAAAGUGAUUGAUAUAUUGAAUCUAACCAAGAUAGCAAAGCAAUCCAGAAACGAGCCAAUAUAUCAGAUAAGAAACGCAAUUAAGAACUUAAUUAGAAUAUUGGACUUAACCGAGAAAGUACUAAUUACAUUGAUACAAGCGAAGUUGACGGAACUUAUUUCUCACCGGAGAUCGAAACUGAUGCAACACAGCUCGAAACUAAGAACUCGUAGAAAACUAAAUUAUGGUGGUGAUGCGCCGAAAGUUAUAUAUUUAUCUGGUCAUAGUUACCAAGACUCUGGGCAUACAUACUUAUACCCUCGGGCUAAAACGAGUCUGCUCGAACAUGAUUCGACUGGCUUAGGAUUCUAUCUCCUUAAUAAAAGGAAAAUUAAUACAUGUCUUACCUAUAGAAAUAAAUCUAAAAAAAAAUCUAACUAACCAAACCUAUCCUAGAUUUUCCAACCGUACCAAGCCAAAUUUAUAGUGUCAACUUCUCCUUUUGACUUGCCUUGACUAACGACAAUUGUCAAAUUUUGCCGUUAACAGUUUCUUACAAUGAUCUAGCUCGAGCUACAUCAGGCUUCUUCGAGUAAAACCUAAUAGGAAGAGAAAUCUAUGGUUCAUAGUUACUGACUUAGUUCUAAGCACGACUUAGUAGAUCAAACUUAACUGAUGCAUCACUAAGUAUGAAAAGAAACAUAAUAUCUAGACAAUCAAGCCUUUGAUUGAUUUUCAGGGUGGUGGAUACCUUAGUUAAUCUAAUCUAGCAAGAUAAUUUAACCGAUACCAGUAUAAACCCUAAAAUGAAUCUCAGCCGAUAUGAUCAAAUUAAGAUGCUAAUCUAGAUUAACUAAGAUAUAUGAUAAAUAGGUAGGUAAAUAUAUCAACCGAUCCAGAGUGAUCCAAGAGGGCGAAGUGAUGUAACCUUGAACAACAUCAAUGUAGCUGAUACAAUCUCUAGGGCCGGCGAAAUGUAGGACUUGCCCCUUCACCGGAGAUCGAACUGAACCGAUGCAGCCUUGCAUCAGGUGACAAGUUUCGCCGGUUGAUAAGUAAAAACCUUGAAAAAGAGGGUGGCGAUGCGCCGAGAGUAGUUGUAUUGAUCUGUGAGAUAGUUUACAAUGACUCCAUGUGUACAUAUUUAUAUCCAUGGGUAGAUACUAGUCCUUAUUGGAUAAUAAAGAAACUUUUCUAAGAUAAAAAGGAAAACAUAAAGUCCUUAUCGGACACUAAACACACUCUCCUAAAGAUAACAAGAAACUAAUGGACUCUUCCUAAUUAAUAGAUAAACUCUGCAUCCUCCUUUUGAACUCGGUCUCUUAUGGAUAAAUUUCCUUUAAUUCAAUUAAUUUCCUUAACCGAACCCAUCAAGAAUCAGACUACUGGCGACUGUUAGUGCCCAUCGGCCGAUUUGUCACACCCCAAUCCGGCACCGCCAUACAACGGCACCUGACAAGAGCGUGUCGUAGGAAAAACGGCGCGAACCGCUUCAUACGAAACCACGAUCUUAGUACCAGUCCCAGGACAUAGCGCUGGUACCCACGGUGACAAAUAUGAAUCAUUGCAAUCCUUAAAAUAAAUAGAGGACUUAUUUACCUUAACUUAGGUUGCAGCUCAGAACAGCCCGAGAAUGCAACCGAUGACACGGACAAGGAAAUACCAACAACAGCAGCAGCAGCAACGGAACCAACGGACUAACACCCAACACCACAGACGAUAGCUAGGAACCAGGACGAAACCCUAUUCUUCACUUCACUUCAUCUUCAGCUUCAGGGCGGAGGAACUAUAUAUAUAUAUUUAUAUAGAGCAAGGGUGAGUACUUUCGUACUCAGCAAGCCAUGGGAAUUAAGUGUUUAAUGCAGGCUUCAAAGGAAAGGCUGUUGUUUUUGCAAUUGAUUUUAGUUAAACUCCUUUUUGAAACAACUAAGUGAGUGCUUCUCAAACGACACAGAUGAGACAGUGCGUCUCGUUCGGUCGGAGUAUGUGCAAUGUAUCAGUCUUUGAAUAGAUUCAAGGUUGGCACCCGGCCAACAACUUUCAAACGGCCACCCGGGCCUAGCUGAUCCCAUCAGCCACAGAGAUUUUCCCAAACAUCGAACCCAUUCCACAACAGCAAUUUCACAAAGUAGUAAUCAAACAAAACUACACUAGGAAUCACCUCACGUCCGCCCAUGACCGUGGGCACGGCUGUUCGAACAAUUUAAUAACCUCUGCAGAGGGUGUACACUUUACCCACACGACGUUACUAGCCUUGGUCACCUAACCCGUGCGGAUCAAACACGUCUGGUGACUUGGGGCUUUCACGACAAGGCAUUUCGAAAGCCGACACAGGUUCACCAUAUGCCAACGAGAGGGGUCCCAGACCGACAACAGGUUAGGUCCCAGACCAUACUGUGCCAGGAAGCCCGAGGGUUCUCCCCGGCACCACCCCGUUGAAUCCACAUGUCUCUUGGCAUCAUGGUUCUCCCGAUUAGCAAAUUACUCAGCUAGGGGUGUCCCAUUCCACCCAUGUGGUCGCACUUGAGACUUAUGUUCGGAUGAAAUUCCAAGGGAAACGGUCCUUAAGUGCAAGAGCGGGAAACCGUACUCCCGGUAGGUCCCCCGGUCUGUGGUAUUGGAAAUUCAUUUAGUUUGCAAACACCAACCCUGGUGUCGGGUUUUCCAAGUUUUUUUGUAAAACCCCAAGUUUUACCCAUCAUUGGAUAUUUUAAAAUUGAGGGGAGGUGUUCCGAUGCGCAUGCCCGAAGGCCCGUGCAUCAAAGCACAACAGUUGACAAAGGAGGUUUAAGUGUUCAAUAAUUCAAGGAGGGUAAUUGCAGCAAUUAGGAUUGGGGCCGGUAGGCUAUCUCGCAAGCCGCGGCCGAAAUACUCGUGUUAAUCCUAUUCAUGCAAUAUUUGCGGAAAAGAAAUACUUAGAUUUAAAUUAUAGGUGCAAGAUGAUCAAAGGUCACUUGCCUUGCUCAAGGCCUUCAUUGAGCUUCACGAAUCUUCAAGAAAACCCGCGAUCGACGAAAAUCCGGUAAUCGCAACUAUACGCAAACAAUCGAAAACCUAAAAAAAAAACCAAAAGAAAGAUCCUAUUUAGACUGGUUAAUAGUGCCAUUAAAUAGAUCUCAAUUUUAUGGAAUUACUAGAAGCGGAACGGAGUCAAUCGGAUGAGCAGCUGAGAAGAUAUUGAAUUUUGGAAGUUUAAUUGGAAUUUCUGGGCGAAGGAAGAUAUUUGUGGAACAAGGGGAAAUUGAUUUAUGAAAUUUAUAGAAAUAAUAUUCUCAAGAAUAUUAUUGACCGUCACUGACGUGCGGGACCAAAGGAAAUGAUUUAUAAGGAAAUGAUUCAUGGAAUUUUGGAAUAAGGAAUUGAUUUAUGGAACAAGGGAAAAAGGAUUUAUUGCAUUUACUGGAUUAAGGAAAUGAUUUAUUGAAUUCAUGGAAAAGAAUAUUCCCAAGAAUAUUCUUUAAUUACUCAUUGACACGUGGGACCAACAGGGGGAAAGAUGGACUUUUGUGUAGGGGAGCUGAUUUGAUGGAGGGAAGAAAUAUGGACUUUAGCUCAUGAGGGAUGGGCACUGGGCUUAGAGGGAGGGACUGAAAGUGGACUUUAGAGGUCGGACCGAGGGAGAGGGGGCACGGCCCGGGUGUGGAAGGAAUGGCCCACGGCCGGGCGGGCGAGGCCGAGCCGGGCCAGGCAUGCGCGCGGGCGGGCGCUGACCGGUCACCGCUUGACCCGGUCAAGCGGGACCGGCGGGCUGAGGUGGCAUCCACAUGGAUGCCACGGUGGCAAGGCGAGAGGGGAGGAGGAGGCGCGCCCGGAGAUCGGACGGCACACGGCAGCCGAUGGGUUCCGGCGAGCAGCGGCGAGCCGGAGGGGGAUGCGGGCACCGGUAGAUAUAGGAGGAGAUGGGGAACUCAUUCCACGGCUCGGAUCGAAGAGAGGAGGCGCGACGGCGAUCGGUGGCGGCGGCGAAGCUCGUCGGAUCGGGGAUGUGGUCGCGCGAGGGAAGGGACAAGGGGGCGCGAACUCGGGCCUAGCCGAACCGGUACGCGACUGCGAUGCGCACGCGGUGACGCGGGACCCGAUGGUCACCGGCGACGCGGGACCCGAUGGUCACCGGCGACGCACGCGCGGCGGCGUUAUGCGGCGGCGGAAGCGGCGACACAGCGCGGAGACAAAGGAGAAGGCCGGCGGCCUUGGGGCAGCCAGGGGGAGGUCAAGGGGAUCCCCGGGAGCAUGGCGGCGAGAGGAAUCGGCGCGAGAGGAGCCGACAACUGUGGAUUGCGGCGGCGGCAAUCACCGGCGAGCAAAAGGGGAAACACGAGGAGACGACGAGGGUUCGAUUCAAGGGGGGUGGGAGCAUCUCCGGGGUUCAAGGAAUCCGUUUCCGGUGUCAGAUGGGGCAGAGCGGCGCCGUGGUGGCGCGGCGACGGGAGGCGGCCUCAGGGAGCGGUCGGCAAUGGCGGCGAGGCCAUGCCGGGCGGCGGCGGGGAUUGGGGUGGCAUCCAUGCGUGUUCGGGAGGCUAGCCAAGCUACCACGCGAGCUAGAGAGGGAGAGGGCGAGCGAGAAGGGAGAACGGAGGGUGGCACUACCGAGCCGGGACGGGCGCAGUGACGAGCGGCCGACGGCGCGGGAGCGAGCUCUCCGGCCUCGGGCUGAGGAAGGGGAAGAAGGAGGGUGCCCGGAGUCCCGCGUCCGCGCGCACACACUGGCUCCCCCGGAGCUCGGCGACGGACGGCGACGGCAAGAACAACGGAAUGGUGGCAAUGACGCUGCGACGGUGGAGAGGCAAGAACAGAGAGGUUGGGAUGGGGAGGGGGCUCGGCAUUGGGUUUUAUAGGUGGCGAGGAUGGAGCUUCGAGGGGAAGGAAGGAGGGCUCACGGGCGUGGUCAAAGGGCGUGGGCGACGAGCUGGCUCGGCGUCAGCUGCUCCUCUGCCAUGGCGCUGGAAACGAGCGAGGAGAGCUGGCGUCGGCCCGAGAGGGGAAAGGGGAAAACGGAGGGGGAGAAAGGGGGCUCGCGCCUUGCCGAUUUCGGGAGAGAGAGGGAUGGGAGCGAGAGGCGCUGCCUCUCGGUUUUGGACGGACGCUGGUGGAGCGGCUUGGGCACGCGCUGCAGAGCUCGCGGCAGGCAGCGGGGCCGAGCGGCAGCGCGGCGCAGGCGCUGACGGCGGUGGCGACCGGGCGGUCGGCCACGACCGGCGCAUGCGCGGGAACCAAAGGCGGUGGGGGGUUCAAAUGGCGGCGGCGGGAAUCGGCGCCAGGGAGAGAGGAAGCAGAGAGAGCAAGAGAGAGAGAGAGGGUGGCGCUCUCUCUCGGCUCGGGCACGACGCACGUGCGGAGGGGAGGGGAAACGGGCUGAGAGGAGGGAUGGGCCGAGGGAGAGGAAUUUGGCCCACAAAACAGAGGGAUGCAAAUAGACUUUUGCAGAGGAAUUGAAUUGGAGAGAAUUGGAGUUUGGAAAUGGAAUUUGGAUAUCUUUGGAGUCGGGCGAAUAUUUAGCAAGGUUUUGAGAUUUGGAAUUUGAAUUUCGAAUUUGAUUACUUGGACUCAGGGAAACAGGGAGGGGUCAAGGAAUGGAUUCAAGGUGGACUCGGAUAUUUGUGGAAUCGAGACAAAUAUUUUGGCGAUGAUUCAAAGGAGGCUAUUGACCUUUGGAAAAAUUGAAUCGGAAUUGGAAUCUUGAGGUGGAGGAUUUUGAUGGCGAUGAAAGGGAACAACAAUGGAGAUUUGAAUUGAGAUCUUGGCACAACUUAGACUCUCACACAAAGAACGAAAUUUUCACAUAUAGGAUUUUGCCGAAUUAGUUUUUAACGCCUCGCGAAAAGCGGAGCGUUACACGAUUCUAGGACUCUGAAGCCGAUACUGAGUCUAGGCUGAUGAUAACUCGAGGCUUACCAAAUUUUGGCGUUAACACGCGGCCGAACGAACUGGGUUGGUGCUUGGUGGGGCUAGCUUGGGUUCAUUAGGUGAGACGUCGUUGCCGAAGCAACAAGCAAGCGCAAUGGUAGGGGUCGGCAUUGACUCGGCCGCGACGAAGCACCCAUUCUUGAUGAACCCACACAGCAGCAGCAAUGUCGACGUUGCCGCCGUGUAGUUAGCUAUCCACCAGCACGGCAGCACCACGAAGCAUUUCAUGCAUUCGACGGUGCCAAUGCAGCGUUCAGCAACUUGAGUGGAGGAAGGCUAGGGGCUCUGCCUCUCGCGCUUGCCGUUGCUGCAGCAGCUGGAAAUGGUGAAGCAGGCGGAGGAGCUACGGGUCCGAUACGACGUGCUCUACUUCAACUAGCAACAGCAGCAGACAUCGGUGGCAGUGUCGGUGCAGCAGCUCUCAAUAGCAUUGCACAUCCAGGAGAUCGUCGGUCGGUUGAUCGCGGGGAGGAGCUCUUCGGUCGCGGGCUCGCGGAGUCGGAACUCCCACUGGCCGCCACCACCUGGCAUGCGAGGAGUGAGAAUAGGAAAAGAGGGAUGUGAGCAAAAAGAAAAAGAAAAGAUAUUAGUACUGACAUGUGGGUCCCAUGAGUGUCACAUAGGAUAAAACCGAUAUCCAAAAUCCCAAGGGACUCGAUUAGCUCCGAUUUUCGAAGAUGGAGGCCUUAUAUCAAGUAUUGUGAACCGUUGAGGGACGUGAAUCUAUCAGGGGCAAGAAUUGAGGAAGGUAAAAUAGACUUGUUCCUUUUGUUUGGGACAUAGGUCAUUGUUAACAAUGGAAUUUGGCAUCAUAUUUGGAGAAGGAAAAGGAAGAUCGAAGCGGAUUUGGUGUUGAAUCGAACUGAGCUUGGAGUUGGAUUGCGCAUCGGCUGGAUAUCGUAUCGGCUGAAAAUAGGGUAUAGAGUUGAUCGAGGUUGAAGAAGCCGAUGGUCGAUACAAGCCGAUAUGACAUGACUUGGGCUCGAUAUGGGUCUAGAUUGGGAUAACCGUCUGUCACACCCCAAUCUGAUACCGCCGUACAACGGCACCUGACAGGAGCGUGUCGUAGGGAAAACGGCGUGAACCGCUUCCUACGAAACCGCGAUCUCGGUACCAGUCCCAGGACAUAGUGCUGGUACCCACGGUGACAAAUAUGAAUCAUAGCAAUCCUUAAUAUAAAUAGAGGACUUAUUUACCUUAACUUAGGUUGCAGCUCAGACAGCCCGAGAAUACAACCGACGACACGGACGAGGAAACACCAACAACAGCAGCAGCAGCGGAACCAACGGACUAACACCCAACACCACAGGCGACGGCUGGGAACCAGGACGAAACCCUAAUCUUCACUUCACUUUAUCUUCUCUUCAGGGCGGAGGAACUAUAUAUAUAUUUAUAGAGCAAGGGUGAGUACUUUCGUACUCAGCAAGUCACGGGAACUUAGGUGUUUAAUGCAAGCUUGGAAGAGAGGCAAGGUUGUUUUGCAAAUCUUUUGUUUGAAAUCAUUUUGAAAUCACUAAGUGAUUUAUUUCUUUCUAAGUUUGGGCCGAAAAGAGACUUGCGUCUCGAUUCGACUUUAAGAGAUGCUUUUCAACAACUCAAUUGGUAAUGUACCGACCUCCCGGGUCAGAUCAUUACUUCUCGGCUCCCAGAGCCAUUCCACUUGAUUAAUCGGCUCCCAGAGCUUUUUUUCAUUUUCUCGGACUCCCAGAGUCCAGCUGCCCAGCAGCACAACAAUCCGCUUCCACUCGGGAAGCCUAGUCUAUGAUGCCCGCAGACAUCCCGAAUCACACAGAUUCGUUUCUGACCACUCAGGUCGUCCAUCUGCCACAUAGGCUGAUUCUGGUUACGAUUCCCACACCACAACAACUUUUCACAAAGCACAGGCAAAUAAAUCUACGCAACGGGAACCACCUCACAUCCGCCCAUGACCGUGGGCACGGCUGUUCGAACAGUUAGUUAACCUCUGCAGAGGGGUACACUUUACCCACAAGAUACGAACUUAUUCCGAACACCCGUCGGUAUCGGAGGUUCGCAACAAAGCCUUUCCCAAGCCGACCCAGGGUUACCUCAUGCCACAUAGAAGGAUCAAAUCCUCACAUAGGCCAUUUUAGGCGUGCACAAAUCAAACUCCAACCACCUUUGAUCGGUAAGUGAGCAAGCUUCUCGUCCUUGCCUUACCCGGAACCCGGUUUGUCCGACCCCGCCCCGGCGUUCCCAACUAUUGGCAUGCGAGGUUUCCCUGAACCGACUAGUUACUUAGCCAGGGUGUCCCAUUCCACCUUGUGGUUGCACUUGAUUAUGUUCGAUGAGUUUCCCACAGGAAUCGGUCCUUAUAUGCGAAUACGGGACAGUGCCACAUAGGCACAACCCCCGCAUCGCGAGUUUUCACAAUUCAUUUUAUUUUCAAACACACCGACACCACAUGUCGGGUUUUGAAGGCUUCACAAACCCAUUUCCCAAGUUUUCGACAAGCAACGGUGUAUGUGGGAUAUUUGGUAUACGCGCUCAGAGAGCACGGAUACCGAAGUACCACAAGGGUGGAGCGACAAGGAUUCAGGGUAGUACGACCUACAGAAAUUAGUGCGACUACUGGGUAGGUCCGUCGGUUUGGCACGCAAACCGAGGCCAAGCAAGUUAAGUGUGUGAAUCUAAUAAUGCAAGUUGCAAACAAAAUAAUAAUGACUUUUCAAUUAUAGGAGCAAUUGAUCAAAGGGUGACUUGCCUUGCUCAAGGUCUUCACGAAGCUUCACGAAUCUUCGAGAAAACCCGCGAUCGACGAAAAUCCGAUAACCGCAACUAUACGCAAACAAUCGAAAACCUAAACAAAAGACCAAAAGAAAGAUCCUAUUUAGACUAAUUAGUAGUGCCAUUAAAUAGAUCUCAAUUUUACGGAAUUAUUGGAAGUGGAACGGAGUCAAUCGGAAGAGCGGUUGGGAAGAUAUGAAUUUUGGAAGUUUAAUUUGGAUUUUCUGGUCAAGGAAAAGGAUUUAUUAAAUCCUUUGGAAAAAGGAAAUGGACGAGGGAUGUGAAUCAGACUUUUCUCGGGUGGCAUUGGCGCGGCCCGAGGGACUUGCGCAGCUCGGGCGAGCCUAAUGGGCCGGCACGGCCUGCGAGGAGGGCGGCCCAAUGGGGCGCGGGGGAGAGAGGGACGGCCCGGUGGACCGAUUCCACCGCGCGGGGUCCCGGGUGGGGCCCGCUUGUCGGCGGCAAGGUUCACGGUGGGGAGAGCGCACGCGGGUACGGUGCUAGGGUUUGGUGGGUGCGGUGUGCGGGCGGUGCGCCGGGUGGAUCGGAUGGCAGCGGGCCCACAUGCAGCCGGUUGGCGCACCGUGGACCGUGCGCGCGAAGGUGGGGAAGGGAAGAGGCGGCUGACCCGGUCGCAGCCGACGUGGCUCCGACGUGGCUGCCACGCGGGCCAACGGGAGGAGGAAGAAGGGGAGGCCGGGAAUGAACGGCGGACGGCGGCCGAGUUCACCGGAGCAAGGCACGGCCUCAGUGGAAAAAGGGAGCACACCGGGGAGGAGGGAAGGGACGAGACGAAGCGAGCCGACGGCUCGGAUUCGCCGGAGGAUGGCCGGAAUCCGGCGGAUUGUGGCGGCGGCAAUCGCCGGCGAGCAAAGAGGGAAAUCACGACGAGACGAUGAGGGUUCGAUUCAAAGGGGGUGGAGCAUCUCCGGGGUUCAAGGAAUCCGUUUCCGGUGUCGGAUGGGGCGGAAAAUCACUGAGGAGGGCUGGCGACGAGCAGCGGCCUUCGGGAGCGGACGGCAAUGGCGGCGAGGCUGUGCCGGGCGGCGACGGCGCUAGGGAAUGGUUUGGGGAGACCCUAGGGAGCUCAAGGACGGUGGUGGUGCGAGGUAUUGGCGAGAGGGCCCACGGCGGCUCGCGGGCGGGCGCGGCGGCGGCGAAGCAGAGCAACGGCGGGGCGGCAUGUUUAAGGGGACGAGCGAGCAACCGAAUGGCUCGGGGCUUAUCCAAGAUGAUGCAGAUGGCGAGAAUUUGGGCGAGGAGCUCACCGGCGUGCGGGAACGGUAUCGGCGGCGAUUUGGGGAUGGAAAGGGGUGGAAGGCCGAUGGCGGCACGCGACCGAGCGGCGGCGCACGGCGGAUGACGCCGAGGCGGCGCGGCGUCGAGGCGAGUGCGCCGGGGGAGAAGAGAGGGAGAGGUGGCGCCCGGAGCUCCUCGUCACGCGUUCACGCUCGCACCGGCUCCCUCGGUGCUCGGCGACAGACGGCGACGGCAAGGACAGCGGGAAGGCAACAAUGGCGCGGUGAAGGCGAGGGAAAAACGAGAGGGAUAUGGGGAGGAGGCUCGGGCUUUAUAGGCGCGGGGAAUGUCGGUUUGGGGAGGGAGGAAACCGACCUCGUGGGCGGUCAAGGAUGCAAGGGCGGCGAGCUGGCGGUCGUUGACGCGUGCAGCCAAGGCGGCGGCAGGUGAUGACGCCGGCGGUGUCGGGCAAAAGGAAAAAGAAGGGGGAAAGGGGCUUGUUCCCUUGCCAAAACGAGAAAAAGGAGGAGGGUGAGUGAGGAGGAGGAGGAGAGGGAGAGCAGCUGCUUCUCCCACUCUUGGACGGGUGCGGCGUGGAGUGGCGGGGGCCAUGGAUGACGUUGACGAUGACGGCGGCGGUCGGUUUGGCAUGGAGCGGGGGCAAGGCGGCAGCGCGUGGCGUCGGCGGCGCAAGGGCUGAUGGCGGCGGCGACCGGCCGGUCGGCCACCUCGCGAGCGCGCGCGGGAAUGGGCGAAGGCGGUGGAGGUUUUGGGCGGCGACGGCGGGAAGCGGUGUCGGCGCGAGAGAGAGAAAGAGAGAGAGAGAGAGAGAAACAGCGAGAGCGAGAGAGACAGAGAGAGCGAGCGACGGCUCUCUCUCUCUCGGCUCACAUGCGUGCAACGCACGUGCGAGGGGGGGGGAAGAUGAUGGGCUGGGAGGGGAGAUGGGCCGGGGGAGGAGAAUCGGCCCAUCCAAAAUCACAGGGAGGUAAGGUAGACUUUUACAGAGAAAACUGAUUUGGAUAGAAUUGGAGAGAUUUAGGGUUUGGAUUCGAGUUCAAAUUUGAUACUCGAACUCGAGGGUUUAGGGAUGUAUCAAGGGGAAUUCAAGGAGAAGUCAUGGGAAAGAUUCAAAAGGAAAACUUGGGUAUUUGUUCUCGGGAACAUAGGGUGGAGUCAAGGAAAGGAAACAAAACGGGGGUUUGGACAUUUUGGGAUUUGGAAAUGUAUUUGGCGAGGAUUCAAAGGAAGGGAUUGACUUUCGAAUUUAGAUUUCGGAGACUUGAAUUGGGAGAGGAGAUUUGAGGCGGAGGAUUUUGAUUUCGAUGAGAGGGAACAACGGGAUUUGAAUUGAGAUCCUUGGCACAACUUAGACUCUCACACAAAGAACGAAAAUUUUCGCAAUUAGGAUUUUGCCGAAUUAGUUUUUAACGCCUCACGAAAAGCGGAGCGUUACAGAUCCACCCCCCUUACAAGAAUCUCGACCCCGAGAUUCGAAGGUGGACCACACACACGAAACCAAAAAGGGAUCUUCAGACUUCUUCACAGCUUCAGACUCUGCUAGUCGUUCUUCAACUUUUUGUUGCGUGCUUGCCGCAAAACGGUCUGGUAUUCUGACUCACUUAGCAUUCUUCAUCUUACUGUGGCUCUGCUCUUGCCUGUGGAACCUGUUCUUCUCCUGCUCCUUCAACUUGCUCGAGAUUCACAACUUUUCCAUUUGUUUCUACUUGCACAUGGUUCAGAUGACUUUGUCCAAUAGGCGGUGACGUCAGUGAGAUAGAUCCACUGUUCGGUGCCUUCAAACUUUUUGGUCUAGAUACGUUGGGAAGGCCUGUCGUUGGUUGAACUCGCUUUGACUUGACUUUCUGAGGGCAAUACCACGAAUAGUGUCCCAUCUCAUGGCAGAUGAAACAUUCGACUCCUGCCUUAUAACCACGUCUUUUUGAAGGUGUAGGGCAUGGUACGGAGUUGCUUCCUUCAUGGCUAUUACUGUUGAUCAUUGUGGCUUGCUGACCAGGUUCUGACAUAGUCGAACGAGACGUAGAACCGGAACCAUUUGAAUGCUGAGAUGCUUUCUGAUAGUAUUGUGCUGGCGAGUUUGUUUUUCGACACAAAUCUUCUUUUGCUUGAAUCUCUAGGGACAUUACUUUGCGUCUCUUGUAUUCUUGCAUCUCUUUUUCUGCAUCUUCUAGUAACAAGGACUUAUCGACCAUUUGCUGAAACGUCGGAAAGUCGUGAGCCAAAAGUUUCACUCGCAGUUUCGCGUCCAUUCCUUUUAAAAAUUUUCUGAUCUUCUUUUUAUCAGUGUCUACAUCUUCUGGGGCAUAUCGGGCCAAUCUAUUGAAGCGACUCAAAUACUCGUUGAUGCAAGAGGAUCCUUGCUUGAUAUUUGCAAAUUCUUCCUUCUUCAAAUCAAUUAUGCUUUCAGGGAUGUGUGCUGAGCGAAAGGCUCCUGCAAACUCUGUCCAGACGAUGGUACUAGCAUCUGUAUGGGUAGCACAGUAGUUAUCCCACCAAUCUGCGGCAGGUCCUCUUAACUGAUGUGCGGCGUAAAGGGUUUUCUCUUGCGGAGUACACUGUACCAGAUUUAAUUUCCUUUCCAUAUCUUUAAUCCAAUCAUCAGCUUCAAUAGGCUCAUUUGUUUGGGAGAACUCCGGUGGACGAGACCCCAAGAAAUCAUUCAGUUUUGAUUUGCCAUCAUCUUGAACCAUAUGGGGUUGACGCUCUUGUGUGUGUUGUUGUUGCAUAGCAAUUAUAUUCUGAACCAUUCCUUGUAUUAUAUGCGUUUGCAUGGCCAGGAUUUGGUGAAGGUCCACGGGUGGGGGUUGAUUACCUCUUGCGACAUCAUUAACUGAUCCGGAAGCAACCGUAUGAUCACUCUCGGCUUCUUGCUCAUCUGUCCGGUUAACUGGUUGAUCGGGGAUUUCUGACUGAACUAGCUCUUCCUCAAAACCAAAGCGGUUAGGGGCACGGAUCUGACGGGUGGAGCGACGUGCCAUCUGCUUCUGAGGGACUGAGAUCUGACUAACGCAGAAAUGAGAUAAGAAAAGGAGGAAAACAAAAACACUACAUCAAAACGGUUUUCGAAAUCACAGAAGACAUAGGUGGUGUGUUCCAGCCGGUAACCCAACUGGUCUAACACCUGAACACGGACUACCAAACAAAACUCACACACGCACUUAGUUCACCACAACUCCUACCGAGCGGGUGACGGCACUAAGGUUAGCCUACCAACAAGGGCUUAACUAAGACUCCUAGAGGCUUGAGCACACCUUUCUUCAACUGGGCGUGAAGACAGGUUUACUCUAGGAUAAAAGUCAAAACGAACGACUAGCUCCUACUUUUGGACACCAAAGAUCUUUCGCAAAACUAGAGCAAAAGGGGACAACGACACCUUAGCUUUCACAAAUAGUUUUUGUAUUCAAAUAAUGCCAUCCUAUUCAGGGGUUUCGAUCCUAGGGCCAACUAAUGCUCUGAUACCAUCUCUUGUCACACCCCAAUCUGAUACCGCCGUACAACGGCACCUGACAGGAGCGUGUCGUAGGGAAAACGGCGUGAACCGCUUCCUACGAAACCGCGAUCUCGGUACCAGUCCCAGGACAUAGUGCUGGUACCCACGGUGACAAAUAUGAAUCAUAGCAAUCCUUAAUAUAAAUAGAGGACUUAUUUACCUUAACUUAGGUUGCAGCUCAGACAGCCCGAGAAUACAACCGACGACACGGACGAGGAAACACCAACAACAGCAGCAGCAGCGGAACCAACGGACUAACACCCAACACCACAGGCGACGGCUGGGAACCAGGACGAAACCCUAAUCUUCACUUCACUUUAUCUUCUCUUCAGGGCGGAGGAACUAUAUAUAUAUUUAUAGAGCAAGGGUGAGUACUUUCGUACUCAGCAAGUCACGGGAACUUAGGUGUUUAAUGCAAGCUUGGAAGAGAGGCAAGGUUGUUUUGCAAAUCUUUUGUUUGAAAUCAUUUUGAAAUCACUAAGUGAUUUAUUUCUUUCUAAGUUUGGGCCGAAAAGAGACUUGCGUCUCGAUUCGACUUUAAGAGAUGCUUUUCAACAACUCAAUUGGUAAUGUACCGACCUCCCGGGUCAGAUCAUUACUUCUCGGCUCCCAGAGCCAUUCCACUUGAUUAAUCGGCUCCCAGAGCUUUUUUUCAUUUUCUCGGACUCCCAGAGUCCAGCUGCCCAGCAGCACAACAAUCCGCUUCCACUCGGGAAGCCUAGUCUAUGAUGCCCGCAGACAUCCCGAAUCACACAGAUUCGUUUCUGACCACUCAGGUCGUCCAUCUGCCACAUAGGCUGAUUCUGGUUACGAUUCCCACACCACAACAACUUUUCACAAAGCACAGGCAAAUAAAUCUACGCAACGGGAACCACCUCACAUCCGCCCAUGACCGUGGGCACGGCUGUUCGAACAGUUAGUUAACCUCUGCAGAGGGGUACACUUUACCCACAAGAUACGAACUUAUUCCGAACACCCGUCGGUAUCGGAGGUUCGCAACAAAGCCUUUCCCAAGCCGACCCAGGGUUACCUCAUGCCACAUAGAAGGAUCAAAUCCUCACAUAGGCCAUUUUAGGCGUGCACAAAUCAAACUCCAACCACCUUUGAUCGGUAAGUGAGCAAGCUUCUCGUCCUUGCCUUACCCGGAACCCGGUUUGUCCGACCCCGCCCCGGCGUUCCCAACUAUUGGCAUGCGAGGUUUCCCUGAACCGACUAGUUACUUAGCCAGGGUGUCCCAUUCCACCUUGUGGUUGCACUUGAUUAUGUUCGAUGAGUUUCCCACAGGAAUCGGUCCUUAUAUGCGAAUACGGGACAGUGCCACAUAGGCACAACCCCCGCAUCGCGAGUUUUCACAAUUCAUUUUAUUUUCAAACACACCGACACCACAUGUCGGGUUUUGAAGGCUUCACAAACCCAUUUCCCAAGUUUUCGACAAGCAACGGUGUAUGUGGGAUAUUUGGUAUACGCGCUCAGAGAGCACGGAUACCGAAGUACCACAAGGGUGGAGCGACAAGGAUUCAGGGUAGUACGACCUACAGAAAUUAGUGCGACUACUGGGUAGGUCCGUCGGUUUGGCACGCAAACCGAGGCCAAGCAAGUUAAGUGUGUGAAUCUAAUAAUGCAAGUUGCAAACAAAAUAAUAAUGACUUUUCAAUUAUAGGAGCAAUUGAUCAAAGGGUGACUUGCCUUGCUCAAGGUCUUCACGAAGCUUCACGAAUCUUCGAGAAAACCCGCGAUCGACGAAAAUCCGAUAACCGCAACUAUACGCAAACAAUCGAAAACCUAAACAAAAGACCAAAAGAAAGAUCCUAUUUAGACUAAUUAGUAGUGCCAUUAAAUAGAUCUCAAUUUUACGGAAUUAUUGGAAGUGGAACGGAGUCAAUCGGAAGAGCGGUUGGGAAGAUAUGAAUUUUGGAAGUUUAAUUUGGAUUUUCUGGUCAAGGAAAAGGAUUUAUUAAAUCCUUUGGAAAAAGGAAAUGGACGAGGGAUGUGAAUCAGACUUUUCUCGGGUGGCAUUGGCGCGGCCCGAGGGACUUGCGCAGCUCGGGCGAGCCUAAUGGGCCGGCACGGCCUGCGAGGAGGGCGGCCCAAUGGGGCGCGGGGGAGAGAGGGACGGCCCGGUGGACCGAUUCCACCGCGCGGGGUCCCGGGUGGGGCCCGCUUGUCGGCGGCAAGGUUCACGGUGGGGAGAGCGCACGCGGGUACGGUGCUAGGGUUUGGUGGGUGCGGUGUGCGGGCGGUGCGCCGGGUGGAUCGGAUGGCAGCGGGCCCACAUGCAGCCGGUUGGCGCACCGUGGACCGUGCGCGCGAAGGUGGGGAAGGGAAGAGGCGGCUGACCCGGUCGCAGCCGACGUGGCUCCGACGUGGCUGCCACGCGGGCCAACGGGAGGAGGAAGAAGGGGAGGCCGGGAAUGAACGGCGGACGGCGGCCGAGUUCACCGGAGCAAGGCACGGCCUCAGUGGAAAAAGGGAGCACACCGGGGAGGAGGGAAGGGACGAGACGAAGCGAGCCGACGGCUCGGAUUCGCCGGAGGAUGGCCGGAAUCCGGCGGAUUGUGGCGGCGGCAAUCGCCGGCGAGCAAAGAGGGAAAUCACGACGAGACGAUGAGGGUUCGAUUCAAAGGGGGUGGAGCAUCUCCGGGGUUCAAGGAAUCCGUUUCCGGUGUCGGAUGGGGCGGAAAAUCACUGAGGAGGGCUGGCGACGAGCAGCGGCCUUCGGGAGCGGACGGCAAUGGCGGCGAGGCUGUGCCGGGCGGCGACGGCGCUAGGGAAUGGUUUGGGGAGACCCUAGGGAGCUCAAGGACGGUGGUGGUGCGAGGUAUUGGCGAGAGGGCCCACGGCGGCUCGCGGGCGGGCGCGGCGGCGGCGAAGCAGAGCAACGGCGGGGCGGCAUGUUUAAGGGGACGAGCGAGCAACCGAAUGGCUCGGGGCUUAUCCAAGAUGAUGCAGAUGGCGAGAAUUUGGGCGAGGAGCUCACCGGCGUGCGGGAACGGUAUCGGCGGCGAUUUGGGGAUGGAAAGGGGUGGAAGGCCGAUGGCGGCACGCGACCGAGCGGCGGCGCACGGCGGAUGACGCCGAGGCGGCGCGGCGUCGAGGCGAGUGCGCCGGGGGAGAAGAGAGGGAGAGGUGGCGCCCGGAGCUCCUCGUCACGCGUUCACGCUCGCACCGGCUCCCUCGGUGCUCGGCGACAGACGGCGACGGCAAGGACAGCGGGAAGGCAACAAUGGCGCGGUGAAGGCGAGGGAAAAACGAGAGGGAUAUGGGGAGGAGGCUCGGGCUUUAUAGGCGCGGGGAAUGUCGGUUUGGGGAGGGAGGAAACCGACCUCGUGGGCGGUCAAGGAUGCAAGGGCGGCGAGCUGGCGGUCGUCGACGCGUGCAGCCAAGGCGGCGGCAGGUGAUGACGCCGGCGGUGUCGGGCAAAAGGAAAAAGAAGGGGGAAAGGGGCUUGUUCCCUUGCCAAAACGAGAAAAAGGAGGAGGGUGAGUGAGGAGGAGGAGGAGAGGGAGAGCAGCUGCUUCUCCCACUCUUGGACGGGUGCGGCGUGGAGUGGCGGGGGCCAUGGAUGACGUUGACGAUGACGGCGGCGGUCGGUUUGGCAUGGAGCGGGGGCAAGGCGGCAGCGCGUGGCGUCGGCGGCGCAAGGGCUGAUGGCGGCGGCGACCGGCCGGUCGGCCACCUCGCGAGCGCGCGCGGGAAUGGGCGAAGGCGGUGGAGGUUUUGGGCGGCGACGGCGGGAAGCGGUGUCGGCGCGAGAGAGAGAAAGAGAGAGAGAGAGAGAGAAACAGCGAGAGCGAGAGAGACAGAGAGAGCGAGCGACGGCUCUCUCUCUCUCGGCUCACAUGCGUGCAACGCACGUGCGAGGGGGGGGGGGAAGAUGAUGGGCUGGGAGGGGAGAUGGGCCGGGGGAGGAGAAUCGGCCCAUCCAAAAUCACAGGGAGGUAAGGUAGACUUUUACAGAGAAAACUGAUUUGGAUAGAAUUGGAGAGAUUUAGGGUUUGGAUUCGAGUUCAAAUUUGAUACUCGAACUCGAGGGUUUAGGGAUGUAUCAAGGGGAAUUCAAGGAGAAGUCAUGGGAAAGAUUCAAAAGGAAAACUUGGGUAUUUGUUCUCGGGAACAUAGGGUGGAGUCAAGGAAAGGAAACAAAACGGGGGUUUGGACAUUUUGGGAUUUGGAAAUGUAUUUGGCGAGGAUUCAAAGGAAGGGAUUGACUUUCGAAUUUAGAUUUCGGAGACUUGAAUUGGGAGAGGAGAUUUGAGGCGGAGGAUUUUGAUUUCGAUGAGAGGGAACAACGGGAUUUGAAUUGAGAUCCUUGGCACAACUUAGACUCUCACACAAAGAACGAAAAUUUUCGCAAUUAGGAUUUUGCCGAAUUAGUUUUUAACGCCUCACGAAAAGCGGAGCGUUACACCGUCAUUGCCAAAUAGAGAUAGAGCUCGAUUAAGGCAACUGUAUCUAAUAAUUAGGGUAUUGAGUCGGUUUGUUAGAGAUUUGGUAAGAGAUCGCCGUAUAUGGUCUUGUUUGUUUCUUAACUUUAGAAAUGUUUGAGUCGUGUCCAUAAUGGACUAAGUUUGUACUCGAGGUAUAAAUAUGAGCCCCAUAGCAUUGUAAUACGGAAGCCAAUCCAAUACAACUUUGGCGCAUCGCCACUGUUUUACUUUUCUCGUUUUCCAGCGAGUUCUUCGCAAGAGGUAACUCGUCUCAAUGGCCCGCGCUGACGUGUUAGGCUCGACAUCGCGAGUCAUUGCUGUCAUAUGUCUUUAAUCUAUUCUUAGCUUCUCAAUUUAGCUCUAUCGGCUGUUGCUCACUUCAGGGUUUGUGUUGGUUUUAGUUAAAUUGUCUUGCUAGAUUAGAUUAGCUAAGGCACCUACCAUCCUGAAAAGUGUCUAAUUUCUUGAUUGUCUACACUGUAUGUUUCUUUUCAUACUUUAAGAUGCAUCAUCCCUUGCAUGCUUAGAACCAUGCAAACUAGCCUACAAUUAGGCAUAAUAAGGAUAGUAUCGGGUUUCAGCCGAUCUUACCUAAUAUGCAUGUUUCACCCCCCUGUUUCAUGUAUAUUCGCCACUUAUAUAGAUAGAUCGUUUUAUAUAAGCAUAUCAAGUUUUAGUCAGUAUCGGCUAGAUUCCUACACCUUCAUGCUUGAUUUAUAUUUGAUAUGUUUAUAUGGACCAAUCUGUUUAUAUAAGUUUGUACUAGAGUAUUAGCUAGUACGUUAUUUUUCUUGGUCUAAAUAUUGUCACAUCGGCUACUUUCAUAAUACUGUCUUAAAUCAAUCUAUUGAAUUCCAUAGAUUGUAUUACAGUCGAUUGGGCGUGUUUAGGGUUUAUUAUUAUUUCAUAUAUCCAGAUUAUAGCCGAUUUGGUCUAAUUCUAUCGGCUGAGACCAUCAACGAUAUGCUAUCAUCCUAUCGGCCGAUCAACUAUCGGUCGAUUGAUUAUGCUUUUAUUCUUUUUUGCUGAUUGCAGGAUUAAAUCAGCUGGCACACCCUUGACACACUCGAGGCUAGCAUUGGACCUGCACUGGAGUUAAGCAGAUCUCCCAUGCCACCGUAUUUUCACAUCAAAAGUCGUUUACUAGUCCAUUUCACCAUCCCUGGGCCACAUCCUAUUUUGCCCGUUCGUGCUAUGUAGUGCAGUCAUUGAGUUGUAAUCUGCGAUAGGCAGCCUAUUUUCACCAGUAGAUAUGGGGAAUGUUACAUGAUAGUAUCCCAUUCGGAUGGGAUGAUACCUAGCUAGGUAUAAGGCGAUACCUCGAAAGUAUCAUCUUCUCCGAACGAGUUAUCAGUCGAUACCUACUAGGUAUCAGACGAUCUCUCUAAGGUAUCAUUCCGUCUAAAUGGGGAAAGGUAAAAGUUUGUUUUUUUAGAAUUUUUGCAGGAACAAUUUGAGUGAACAUGCAGGAAAAAUGUUAGGCUCAGAAAUUUUAUCCAAAAAGGAACAAAAAAAAACUCAGACAUUAUAUCAAAAAAGAAAAAAAACUCGGACAGCAACAACAGCGGGAAGAAUAUCAAGGAAGGCGACGAGUUUAAGCUCUGUAAAUGCGGUCAAGCUACGGCAAUGAAGGCUACCACAAGAUUUCACUUUUAACUAAACCCCUGGGCGAUGAACCCGGAGCUAAUUACAUACCACUAGUAAGUAGUACUAUAUUCAUACCCCAUCUCCAGAGAACUGGUCAGGGAAAAUAUCCUCCACUUUUGGUUCGCUCCGAAGGCUCAUAAGGUUCCCUAUUUUUUUUUUUUAUCUCUCCAUCAGUAUCUCCUUCAAUCUGUUUACGAUAUACCACUUCAUUUCGUGUUGUUAAGUAUGCCAUAUGUGUAUUUGAGUCUUGGGUAUGAUAAGAACAAACGUGCAAAACCUAGCUUUAGACUUAGGAGUCUCAAAAUUAAGUGUACUGCAUACAUGUGAAUAAUGCACUAAGGAAAAAAAAGGCAAAUCAUAUGAUAGAAUCAGUGGCUAACACUGUGCCUUCUUUCCUUUGUAUUUUUGCAGCUUAAGUUACUCAAAACUCGGAGAGGUUACCUGCAUACACGACUGUACACGAAAUGCUUAUCCCGCUGCUGCUACUGUUCUACGGUGUUGGCAACAUCAGUGGCUCAACGCUUCCUGAUAACAGCACAGAUAUGCUCUCUCUUCUUGGUUUCAAGGAAGCCAUCACCAACGAUCCGUCAGGAGUCUUGAGCAACUGGAACACAAGCAUCCACCUCUGCAGUUGGAACGGCGUCUGGUGCAGCCCCAAGCACCCCGGGCGAGUCACGGCGCUCAACCUCGCCGGCCAAGGUUUGUCCGGCACAAUCAGCAGUUCAGUUGGAAACCUGACUUUUGUUCGUACGCUUGACCUAUCCAAUAAUAACUUCUCUGGCCAAAUGCCUCAUCUUGCCAAUCUCCAGAAGAUGCAAGUCCUUAAUCUUAGCUUCAAUACACUGGAUGGGAUUAUUCCAAACACCCUCACAAACUGUUCCAACAUGAGGAAACUAGAUCUCUAUACAAACUUGCUAGAGGGUGCGAUUCCUCCGCCAAUAGGUCGGCUUAGAAAUCUAGUUUACAUUGACCUUUCCCGGAAUAAUCUGACUGGGAUCAUCCCGGCAAGCCUAAAAAAUAUAUCCCUAUUAGAAACAAUCUAUCUUCAACGCAACCAACUUGAAGGAAGCAUUCCUGAUGAGCUUGGCCAAUUUUCAAAUAUUUCGUUGAUGGCCCUAGGGGCAAACAGGCUAUCAGGUAAUAUCCCAGCAAGCCUUUUCAAUUUGUCUUCCCUUCGAAUACUAGAAUUACGUGCAAAUCUGCUAGGAGGGAUUCUGCCUAGUAACAUGGGAAAUCAUCUCACUAAUCUACAACACCUCUUCAUGGGCCAGAACAUGUUCAAAGGUCAUGUACCAGCUUCCUUAGGCAACGCUUCAAUGCUAGAAACAAUAGUUUUACAAUCUAACAAUUUCACCGGCAGAAUCCCUACCUCCCUCGGGAAGCUAUCAAAUUUGUAUAAGUUGGACCUUGAACUAAACAUGCUUGAAGCAAAAGAUACUGAAGGAUGGAAAUUCCUGGAUGCGUUGACAAACUGCACUGCUCUAGAAGUGCUCGCAUUAGCUGAAAAUCAACUACAGGGAGUUAUACCAAAUUCAAUCGGUAGCCUAUCGAACACUCUUCGGUAUCUCGUGUUGGGUGGAAAUGAACUAUCUGGCAUAGUUCCCUCGUGCAUAGGGAACCUUUCUGGGUUAAUUCAACUGUCAUUAGAUGUAAACAAGCUCACAGGUUCGAUCAGCCCAUGGAUUGGAAAUCUUAAAUACUUGGAAUAUUUAAAUCUUGGAAAGAACAGAUUCACUGGGCCUAUUCCAUAUUCUAUUGGCAGUCUUACACGGCUGACAGAGCUCUAUCUGGAAAAAAAUGCAUUUGAAGGUCACAUACCACCCUCCUUGGGAAACCCUCCACUACUCUUAAAGCUGGAUCUUACCUACAACAAUCUUCAAGGCACCAUACCUUGGGAGAUUAGUAAUCUUAGACAACUCGUCUACCUGAAACUUACAUCAAACAAGCUUACUGGGAAUAUACCUAAUGCUUUGGACCGAUGCCAAAACUUAGUGACCAUCCAAAUGGACCAAAACUUUCUCACAGGAACCAUUCCAAUUUCUCUUGGCAACCUAAAAGGCUUGAGCGUACUAAAUCUUUCCCAUAACAUCUUAUCGGGCACCAUCCCAGCAGUACUGGGGGAUCUACCUCUACUCAGCAAGCUGGACCUUUCUUACAAUAAUCUCCAAGGAGAAAUACCAAGGAUUGAAUUAUUCAGAACAUCUGUUUAUCUUGAAGGCAAUAGGGGACUAUGUGGAGGAGUUAUGGAUCUCCAUAUGCCAUCGUGCCCCCAAGUUUCUCACAGAAAAGAAAGGAAGAGCAAUUUGACCAGAUUGUUGAUUCCAAUAGUUGGUUUCUUGUCACUCACAGUGCUGAUAUGCCUUAUAUACCUUGUGAAGAAGACACCAAGAAGAACAUAUCUAUCGUUGCUUUCUUUUGGAAAGCAGUUCCCUAGGGUUUCUUACAAGGAUAUAGCCCAAGCUACAGGGAACUUCUCACAGUCAAACUUAAUUGGAAGAGGAAGUUAUGGUUCAGUAUAUAAAGCGAAAUUAACUCCAGUUAAAAUACAAGUUGCUAUUAAAGUUUUUGACCUAGAGAUGAGAUGGGCAGACAAAAGCUUCGUAUCAGAAUGUGAGAUCUUAAGAAGCAUUCGACAUCGAAACCUUCUUCCUAUCCUAACGGCGUGUUCAACAAUAGACUAUAGUGGAAAUGAUUUCAAAGCUCUGAUUUAUGAAUACAUGCCUAAUGGGAACUUGGAUAUGUGGUUGCAUAAAAAAAAUACCGCUGUUGCUUCAAAAUGUUUGAGCUUAUCUCAGAGAGUAAAUAUAGCCGUGGACAUUGCUAAUGCACUGUCCUAUUUACACCACGAAUGUGAAAGAUCUAUUAUCCAUUGUGAUUUGAAGCCAAUGAAUAUCCUUCUUGACAGUGAUAUGAAUGCAUAUUUGGGAGACUUCGGAAUUUCAAGCCUCGUUCUUGAGUCUAAAUUUGCCUCACUUGGACAUUCCUGUCCAAAUAGCUUAAUCGGAUUGAAGGGAACCAUAGGGUAUAUAGCUCCAGGUAUAUAUGGUUAUUGCCACAUCUUCAAUUCAUGAAAGGCAAUUUGUUUUCUGAAUUAAUACUUAGACGUUGCAUUGUACUAAUUAGUGUGAUUUUAUCUUUUCUUUUAGAGUAUGCAGAGUGUGGCAAUGCAUCGACCUAUGGGGAUGUUUACGGUUUUGGAAUAGUACUUCUAGAGAUGCUGACAGGUAAAAGACCAACAGAUCCUAUGUUUGAGAAUGAGCUCAACAUUGUCAACUUUAUGGAGAAGAACUUCCCAGAGCAGAUACCACAUAUAAUUGAUGCUCAACUCCAAGAAGAAUGCAAAGGCUUCAAUCAAGAAAGGAUCGGGCAAGAAAAUAGGUUCUAUAAAUGCUUGUUGUCUGUAGUGCAGGUUGCUCUUUCGUGCACUCAUCCGAUCCCAAGAGAACGAAUGGACAUUAGAGAAAUAGCUAUUAAGCUGCAAGCAAUCAGAACAUCCUAUGCUGAAGCGACCAAGCGAGACGAUAUGCUUCGAAGAAGGGAGUUACAAUGUACCAUUGAACUUGUGUAAUUGUGUUGUCUGUUGGCUUUGAAUACAACGUGCAUAAAACAUGAUAAAUUGGCCAUCAGCAUACACUGGAUGUGUGUGUGAGGAACUACUCUUCUGUACUGCAAUAUAUAGUUGUGGGUUAAUUUUAUCAUCCUUAAAAAGAUAUUGGAAAGUAACAUAUUUUGUAGGUACCUUGAGUUACUUUCUCAAGAAUCGUAAAAUUUCUCAUAGUUAUGUGUGCGACUAUGGUGGAAAGCAGUAUUGGUACGCACUGUGCAUUGACACUUUGAUUUGGGUUUCACAAAUUUGGGGAACGGUUCCUACAGGCUACAGUUUAUGUAACUGGGAUAAUGGGAUUGUGCAUGAAGGAUAUAUAUUUUUAAGCCGGGCCGGCCUAAGAUAGGCGGACAAAAUUUACUUAAGAAAGGAGUAUGGAUUGUGAAGGAUAUAAGCUAGGUGGUUCUUUGGACAGCUUAUCAUGGCGAUUAAUAUUUAAUACUCCAGGAACAUAAACCAAAAUCUGCAUAAUUGGUGUCAGAUUGCAUGGAACAACACAGCUAAUCCGCGCUUAUCAUUCAGGAGUUAGGACUAUCACAACCUAAGUUGGGUCGAUCCCUAAAUCCAAAUCCCAACCUGCAGUUACUGAUCACUAGAGGAGUAUAUAAGAUUGAGGAAACCCUCGGGUACCUUACCUGUACCGUGCAGUGGUAUAUGCCCAUUCGACGAAAGCCGAUCCGUGCGCUGCCGCGACGUCUUCCUCUUCCCGCUAGGAGAAUCGACGGCCUUAGCCAGGACGAAGUGUCUGAUUCCGGUAACGAUGAGGGCCCGCCGGAGCCUGCGCCCCCAGCCAAAGCAGAAUGCGUCUCCCGAGCUCAAGGGGAAGAAGAGGAAGACGCCGCCGCGCGAGGUCGGUGAGUCUUCCGCCCGGCGCCAACGUGCACCGCCGCGGCGCCUCCAUCCUCAGCUCCUGCAGGGUUGCUCGGCUGCUGAUAGCUUUGCUUUGUUGGGCCAUAUGUAUACUACUUGGGCCGUUCUACCACUUCUAGCAGGAAUCCUAUCUUACGCAGACGCGCUAGCAAACUAACUCGCGCACGAUUUGGAUCCACUAGGCCCACCCUAUCCUAGGCUGCAGUUGUUAGCAUUUUUUUCUCUUUUUCCCGUGAUUUUCUCUCCUCGUUUCAUGUGCAACCUUUUUUUCUCGCCUGAUUUUUUUCUUUUUUAUUGCGCGAUUUUUAGCUCUUUUUUUUUGCAAGAUUAUUUUUUCCGGUGUGCUAUCAGGCUAGGUACUCAUUUUAUUUUCAAAAAUAUUGAUGCAAAAUUUAAAAAAUUCUAACACAAAAAUUGAAAGGUUCUAGCUCAAUUUUGAAAACUUUCAACUAAAAAUUUGAAACUUUCAACUGAAAAUUUAAAACUUUCGAUCAAGAUUUGAAAACUUUCAACUAAUAUUUGAAACUUUCAACUCAAGAUUGAAAACUUUCAACUCAAAAUUGAAAAACUUUCAAAUCCAAUUUGAAAACUUUAAAAACUUUCAAACCAAAUUUGAAAACUUUCAACUAAAGAUUAAAAACUUUCAACUCAAAAUUUGAAAACUUUCAAAUCCGAUUUGAAAACUUUAAAGUUAAAAUUCAAAACUUUCAAAUCAAGUUUGAAAACUUUCAACUCAAAUUAAAAAAAACCAUAUCCAUUUUUUUACUUUCAGGUCUAAAUUGAAAAUUCUCAGUUCAUCUUUUAAAAUUUUAAUUCUACUAAUUUGUUCGUUAUUUUGCUAUAAAUAAUUACGCUUUUACGCUAAUCUAAUCGUGUUUAGCGCUAAGCGGGCGCUUAGCUACGUGUGGCAUGGCGACGCGCACGCGAGUUACUUUAGCAGCGCGUAUGCGUGAGCUAGUCGUGCCCCACUUCUAGAGCCACGGCGCGUGCAAACCCUGCGUUGUAACGAGCUUGGCACCAGGGGGCAACGCCAAAGAGGAAUGAGUUCACUGGCCUCUUAACUUUACGUCGAGUUUGCAUGACAUCCUUAAUCCCAAUACCAGAAAUCUUCACCCCUAAAUUAUACAAAACCGUAAAAUUUAGGUCCUAGGGCAGUAUGGUCUCUGGUUUCAUUAACGUGGCAUCCUAGUAAGCAAAAUAAAAAAUAAAAAAAUUACAGGAUCCACAUGUAAGCGAGUAAAAUAAGAAUAUGGGGCCCUUAUCUCUUCUUUCUCUCUUUUCUUCUCUCCUCAUUUUCUUUUCUUUCUUAUCUUCUCUUCUCUUCUCUUCUCUUCAGCAAUCUUGGGAGGCAGGUGGCGUGAGAGAGGGGAGAUGUAGCUGGUGAGCCCGGCCAAGCUCCGCCGCCUUGAGCGCCUUGCGACGGGAGGAGGGAACGGGGUAGAGGGGACGCGGCCGGUAUGAGAUGGGAGGGGAGAGGCACGGUGAUUGGGAUGGCGAGGUGAUAGGGGACGGGGGGCGCGUGCACGACGACAGGGACUACGAGGCGAUGGGGGAUGGAGCGUGGGGCAGGCAGGCGUUGUGAUGGCAACUCGGUGCCUCCUUCACGGGGGAGCCGUGGUGAUUGGGACGGCAAAGCGAGCGGCUUGGUGACGGGGAACAGAGUGUGGGACAGGCGAGCGAGCAUCAUGAACCAGCGGUCUUCGUGGGCGGCGACCUGUUGCUCGAGGUGGAGCGGCGGUGUGACCCGCGGUCACCGAGGUCACCACCUGCUUCCACCACCUUUUCAUGGCCACCGUCGCCGCCGCCCCUAGGCGUAUCCUAUGAGAUCUUGCACGGGCACAUCGCCCGUGGCUUGCUAUCGUCUCCGUAGCCCACACUAGAGGAUGACUCGCCUUGCGGCUUCAGUGUUUAGACGGGCACCGAUAGCGGCGACGCCUGCUGCGCCUCCGCGGCAUGGCUCCGGCUGCCCCUUGUGCCCCUGGUCCCAUCACCACCACAGGCUUGUCGAGGGUGGUGAAUGGUGCUCCAUGACCGCACCUUGCCACCCACUACACGGUGACCAUCGUCGAACACUAGCGAGUUGUGGAUCAUCUGUGACAUGCCACAUUUUCCGCUGGAUCUGCGGCGGUCACCGUGUCCACCACCACCACCACAACAACAAUCACCACAAGCGUCGGCGUGUCGUAGACAGCCAUGGGGGACGACGAGAAGGGCGGCACGAAGCGCGCAAGAGGAGCAGCCUCAGCAGUAUGAGGCGAUGACGAAGGCCCCUCCAUGGUGCAGCCGCUCCAGAGUGAGGUGGCCUCGGCGGUGACCGCCGACGGCAACUCGCAGCAGGUGCAGCAGUGGCCUGCGCCCACACCGGGCUGAUGUUCCGGCUCGUCAGAGGAGUCGACGACGCUGACACCAAGUGAGCGCUAACAUGUGGGGCCCACCGUACACCACGUCAGUGAAACCAGGGAUAAAUUGGGUCUAUACUGCCUCAGGACCCUUUUUACAUGGUUAGGGAUAGUUGAGGGGUAGAGAUUUCUAGCAUUGAGGAUUGGGGAUCUCAUAUAAAUUCGAUGUAAAGUUAAAGGGACGUCAGGUGAACUUAUUCCACGCCGAAGACGCUUCCUCGCGAGAAGCAUAUGCAGCCACUAGCCCACUACCUUAAGAGGGGAAAAAGAUAAGAAAAGGAAAAUCUUCUGCGGUCCUGCCGGAUUUCAUUCCCAUUUCCCCAACACGCAAAUCAGAGAACACUGGCAAGAGGACAAACUACUGGAGACGAAAAAUCGAAGUAAACAGUAAACACCAAAGGAGUCGCUCUCUCUUCUCUUCUCUUCUCUUCUCUUAGCAAUGGGCCAUGGCAGUGGAUGCAACACUGCUGUAGAGGCCGUGGAACUGCGUUUUAAAAGUUCUGUAUCCAGGGGCCUAAACCCGCUGUAUAUGCAAGUUAAUUAGUAUCUCUAGUCUACGGCAAACCGACGAUUACAGGGAGAGUUCGCCGUGGCGGUGCUCCCUGUUCGAGCAGAGGUUCGUUAACUUUCUCUUGUUUUGUUUUCUGAUUAGACUGUAUGCAUAAAGCACUGCAUGUCUUAUUUACUGCGGGCUCUGGCUUGAAUAGGCCUAACCACUCCUAGUUCCCGUCUACCUCACAAUGACAAUAUAAUACUUGUGUGUGCUUGACUUAUGUGAUAUAUCUCCACAGAUAACGAUGUGAGAGAGAACGACGGAAAUAGUGACGGGAGUGGCAUGGUUUUAAUUUUAAAAAUUUACAGUGGCUACUAGCCGAUAACGUAAACAGUACUAUAGUAGUGACAUUUUUCUGAUUUGUCACAUUUACAGUGGCAUGGAUCCAAUUAACCCUAUACAGUACCAUAUUCACUCGUAGAUUUUAUUAUGAGACAGAUAAAGCAAUAGCGAAGCUUUCUUUUCUAGCCGUAUGUGUUUUACUUGGGCCGUACAACCACUGCUGGUCACUUUGUACGUUACGCACGCGCUGUGCUCAACCUCUUUGUGGACAAUUGCGCGCCGCGACUGACACUUCGACGGUAACUGCUAGAUAUCUGCAGCAUGUGAAGUAAAACUUUGGCAAGAGGACGUAAUACUGGUCUACUGCCUCCGGAGAUGGAAAAUCUGGAUCGGUAAAAGCGGUCGAGAACUCGAGAUACGGCAGAGAAAUGGACGAGGGCGCCAGAUGUGACACUGCUGUAGAAUUGUGUUUUUUAAGGCCAUUGUCCAAGGACCAACUGCCCAAUCUGGUACUACUUGUCUUCGGCAAAACAGAUUUACAGGGAGAAUUCGCAACCGCUGUUCGCUCCGAGUGGAGAUUCCCGUCGAUUCCUAUCAGUAUGCCCUACGCACUGCCUCAGCGAUUUCAUAUUGUGCACAUGGACAUAAAAUACAUCAUAUGCCUAUUCAUUCAUAUUUUGCAGGUGAUAUGUGUUCCGAGCAAGAGCAACCCGUGAAACUCGCCAUGUUUAUACAACUGGUGUUGUUGCUGCUAUUUUAUGGAGUUGGUAACGUCGUCCAUUGCUCAACUGUCCACGAGUUCAGCAUCGAUCUGCAAUCACUGCUAGAUUUCAAGAAAGGCAUCACGGAAAGAUCCAAGCGGAGCCUUAAGUUCUUGGAACACUAGCACUCACUUCUGUUGGUGGAAAGGUGUCAUGUGCACCACUGCACGGCCGUUUCGCGUCUCAACGCUGAAUCUCUCCGCCCAAAGCUUGGCAGGGGAAAUCACCUCCUCCCUUGCAAACCUCACGUUUCUUCGUGCACUUGACUUGUCCUCAAAUCGCUUCUUUGGUCGGUUCCCUCUCCUUAACCACCUACAGCAUCUGGGUUUUCUUUACAUGAAUGACAACUCACUCGAUGGGAUUAUUUCGGACACACUUACAAAUUGUUCCAAAUUGACACAAAUAGACCUCUCUAAUAACCAGCUGCAGGGUGCAAUUCCUCCUAGAAUAGGAUCCCUAGAGUAUCUGAACCUUGGCAAUAAUAGUCUCACUGGAAUCAUCCCUGCAACCAUUGGAAACCUUGUCAAAUUUGGAUAUUUGAACCUUGGUAUGAAUAAUCUCACUGGAAUCAUCCCUGCAACCGUUGAAAAUCUCACCCUGUUAACAGUUCUCAGGCUUGAAUACAAUCAGUUUGAAGGAAAAAUCCCAGAUGGGGUCUGGCAAUUGGCAAAUCUGACAUAUCUUCUCCUAGGUCAGAAUAGGCUAUCAGGUGGAUUCCACAGGCCCUAAGCCUGCCUCUUCUCACAUUACUUUGGCUUUUGGCACCAAACUUUGGCUAUGCCCUCCAAAGUAUCCAACAGGUAAAACAAGUUUGAAGGUCACAUUUCAGCAGUGUUACUGAGCAAAACAUGGCAUCAGUAAUUCAGAAUCGUCGCAGUACUAAUGUGCUCCCAAGUGCAAAUGCACCUAUAAUUUUACCAUUUGAAUCAUUGCAAUAAGAUAACAUCUAUAAUCCUCAGGAAGCUUACAUCCAGCAAGACCCUUUUUGUGAUGUUAUCAUGUUUUUUUUCUUGAAUGGAAUCAGCACGAGAUUAUGCUAUUUCAUUAAAUAUAGCGAGAGAAAUGUACAACCCCCCUAGGAGAAGAAAGGAAAAGGCUAUACAAAACUAUACGUGUGAAGGAUGAAACUCUCUAAGCUUUUUAGCUCCGGCCAGAACCCAAGUUCAUGCUUCUUCCUUUAUUUUGGCCAACAGCCUAGGAUGUGUUAUUUUCCAUGGUUUCCCAACCCAUCUCCUUUGUUUUUCGCGUGUACGUUUUUCAAAUUGCUAAACGAUACAUAUUUUACAAAAUGUUUAUAUGGGAAAGUUGCUUUAAAAAAAAUCAUAUUAGUCCAUUUUCAAGUUUUUAUAGCUAAUACUUAAUUAAUUUUGUUUUAAUCUAUCGCUCCAUUUUCCGUGCGGAGAGGAGGGGUUUCCAACCCCUUCAAAAGAACACAACCUUAAACUUAUGUUCGAAAACACGCUGAUUUCUCUCCUUCCUUGAUGUUAUCAUGUUAAAUAUGUUCAAAUGACAACACCUAGAGAAGUAGAUCUAUCGAUAUUGGUAUAUCCAUCUAUUCGUCUCCUAGUGACAAAAUUCUGGCAUAAAAUCGUACCCGUUCUUUUCAUCUCUACCCUAUUAAAAUUCUAUAGAAUAAAAACUUGCAAAAACUUUGACCACACCAAAAAUUCCAGUGGUGUGUUUGGUUGGGUUGAUGAGCCUGUAUAGGAGAUGGUCGUCCGAGUUUUUGUAGUGUUUGGUUGGAGGGCAUGGUGGAUGGAGCGGUCCAGAAUAGGGAAUAUUCCCUCAAUAUGCUGGAUGAGUGCAUCCGGCCGAUUUGGCUGGAUGAAGCCAUCCAGUUUUGGACUAGGUGAUGUGUCCUAUUCCGAUUGGUUGUGGUUGGUUUGAUUUCCUGUUAAGCAAGCUCCAAAUGAUUUUGUCUCCUAAAUCGUUUAUCUAAUUUAUAAUUUGAUUACACCAUUAUAUUUGUUAUAGUUAAAUCUUUAAAACAAGAUCUCGGAUGAUUAUAUUUUGAUAAAAAAUAUAUAUGACAAACGGGUCCCACUAACUUUUGACUUUUUCCAUCCAUGAUAUAUCUCUCCAACCAAACAAGAAAUUGGAUUGUUAUAUCCAUAUAAACCAAACAGAAAAUUGGAUCGCCAUAUCCAACAAAAUAUGGAUGACCAUAUACUAUCCAUACUUAACCGUGAACCAAACACACCCUUAUGCAUGAAUAGGAUAUGGCCAUCCAUAUUUAGUUGGAUAUGGCGAUCCAAAUUUUUAUUUGGUUUGUAUGAAUAUGACGAUCCAAUUUCUUGUUUGGUUGGAGGAAUAUAGCAUGGAUGGGAAAAGCUAAAAGUUAGUGGGACCCAUUUGUCAUAUAUAUAUAUAUAUAUGAUACCCAUAUAGGACUCCAUGGUGCUCGGGCUCCAAGGUAUAAAACACACAAAUUCUCUCAAAUUUUUAAAAAUUUUCAAAUUGUGAGUAUAUACCUAGGUAUAUGAAUUUGAUUCAUACAAAUACCUAACAACAAAACAACUCAAACUCAAUUUUAUUUCACAAUUCAUUAUUACAUACCUAACGAAUUAUAUGUUUGAAUGUUAUAUACCUAGAACCGAAAUCUAACAAAAAAAAAGUUCAAACUCAGUUCAAACUUGUUUGAGCUUGUUAGUAAAGAAGUUAAUGUUCAUAUCUAAACAUUUAAAAAAAUUUCAUACUUAUUCAAAUUGGGUAUAUACUUAAUUUGAAUCUUGGAGCCCAUACUCCAUGUAGCACCAGUUAAUUUACCUAUAUAUAUAUAUAUAAUCAUCCGAUAUCUUGUUUUAAAGAUUUAAUUAUAACAAAUAUAAUGGUGUAAUCAAAUCAUAAAUUAGAUAAACGGUUUAGGAGAAAAAAUCAUUUGGAGAUUGCUUAAAAGGAAAUCAAACCAAUCACAGCCAAUCAGAAUAGGACACAUCACCCAGUCUAAAACUGGAUGGCUUCAUCCAGCCAAAUCGGCCGGAUGCACUCAUUGAGGGAAUAUUCCCUAUUCCGGGCCGCCCUAUCCACCCUUCCCUCCAACCAGACACUAAAAAAAUCGGAUGAUCAUAUCCCAUCAAGUCCACCUAACCAAACACACCCGGCAUCAAAGCAAACCAACCCAAAAUCUCUGUCCCUGUCCGGUUCCGGAUGAAACAUAGAGAUGGACCAAAAGUAAAGAUCUCUGAUUGAAACUGGACAUGCCACAACAAACUUGCCAGCUCAAACAGUGACGAGCAGCGACGGGUGACAAGGUGAAAUUUUACAACAACUGGCAAGUUUGACGGACUCAAGGUCUUCGUUCCAACGGCGGCAAAGCUGAGAUAAGGCUUGAGCUUGAGUGCUUGACCAUGGCAUAUGCAAGUCGUGGAUGUGAGGCCGCUGAAAAACCAGUUUUAAGCCCCUGCACCCUGAGGCGUGAGCCAGAUUAGUACCCAACUCAAAGUUCACACUUCACACACCACCCAGCCAAACAAAGCAGAAUUUCCAUCAUGUGCACUCUGGGCAAGCAGAGGGGCAGAGGUGCGCUGCUCUUUUAUGCCUGGUUAUUUGGUUAAUACUUGGCUUUUUUACUCCAUCAUCUUUAGUUAGUACGUAUUAAAAUUAGUUGUUGCGAGUGAGCUGUGAAACAUUUCAGAAAAAAAAUUUAGAGGACUUUCAGAAAGUUGCACCUUGUUUUUUUAAUGAAGUACUUUCUCCGUUUUAUAUUAUAAGACUUUCUAGCAUUAUCCUAUAUAUGUUAAUGAAUCUAGACAUAUAUGUGUGUGUCUAGAUUCAUUAAUAUCUAUAUGAAUGUGGACAAUGCUAAAAAAUCUUAUAACCUGAAACGGAGGUAGUACAACUUUGUGUUUCAAAUUACAUUUAGACUGCAUUCGUUUCUCACUUCUCCCAACCUCUACUCUCUCGUUUUCCACACGUACAAUUUCCUAAAUUGUUAAAUGAUAUGUUUUUUUAAACAUUAUCUAUAAAAAGUUAUUUUAAAAAAUCAUAUUGAUCUAUUUUUUAAAAAACUAAUAUUUAAUUAAUUAUGUGCUAAUGAGACUCUCCGUUUUACAUUCGCUCCAUUUGCAGCAUGGUAGGGACUAGGACUUGCGAAGUUGGGAUUGUAAGAUUACCAGAGUUGGAGCAUUGGAGGGUAGGGCUGAUUGCGUAACCAUGAAGUAGCUCCAGUAGCGAUCAUAAUAUGUCGCAAUAUUUAUGUUUCACUAAUUGCAGGCAGCGAGGGCCUGAUGUCUGUCAACAAAACGGUGAAACUGACCAUGCCCGUUCUAUUGGCAUUGUUGCUGUUGUCCUAUGGAACUGGAAGCAUUCGUUGCACGACGAUCGCUGGGAACAGCACGGACGUGCUCUCGUUGCUCGAUUUCAAAGCCACCACCAACGAUCCAAGAGGAGCCUUGAGCUCCUGGAACACCAGCAUCCACUACUGUUGGUGGAGCGGCGUCAAGUGUAAGCCGAAUACCCGAGGGCGAGUCACGGCUCUGAAACUCGCGGGACAAGGUUUAUCAGGCCAAAUCACCUCCUUUCUUGGGAACUUAACGGACCUUCACACACUUGACUUGUCCAGCAAUAAUUUCUCUGGCCAAAUACCCCCUUUAACCAAUCUUCAGAAGUUGAAAUACCUUCGUUUGGGCCAGAAUUCUUUGGAUGGUAUAAUUCCAGAUUCACUCACAAAUUGCUCCAAUCUAUUUUAUUUAGACCUCUCUAAUAACAUGCUAGAGGGCACAAUCCCCCCGAAAAUAGGUUUCUUAAAUAAUCUCUCUGUAUUGGCCUUCCCUUUGAAUUUUCUCACCGGGAACAUCCCCUCAACCCUUGGCAAUCUUACAAACUUGAAUAUAAUGCUCCUCGCAAAUAAUAAGAUUGACGGAAACAUUCCUCAAGAACUGGGGCAACUGUCAAACUUGGGGUGGUUGUCCCUAAGUGAAAACAACCUAUCAGGUGGUUUUCCGCAGGGAUUCUUCAAAAAUCUAUCUUCUCUUCAAAUAUUAAGCAUUCAGACGACCUUGCUUGGUGGCACAUUGCCAUUUGACAUUGGCAAUACACUCCCUAAUCUCACAAAACUUUUCUUGGCUGAUAACAUGUUUGAAGGUCAUAUCCCAGCUUCUUUAGGCAAUGCAUCAUUGCUACGAGGGAUAGAUCUAUCCUUAAAUAAUUCUACUGGCCAUAUUCCCAACUCUUUUGGACGGCUUUCAGGUUUGUCUACAUUAAACCUUGAGACAAACAAGCUUGAAGCUAGGGACAACCAAGGUUGGGAAUUCUUAGAAGCGCUCAGAGGCUGCAACAAUUUAAAUGUGCUCUCACUAGCUGACAACCUGUUAUUUGGGGACGUACCAAAUUCAAUUGGUGGCCUAUCCAUCAACCUGACAAUUUUAUUGUUGGGCGGAAACAACCUAACAGGGAUAGUUCCUCUAAGCAUUGGGAACCUUCAAGGCUUAAUUUCAUUGGGGCUAGAUAAUAAUGGUUUCAGUGGUACGAUUGAGUGGAUUGGAAAACUGAAAAACUUGCAAUCUUUAUGCCUUCGAAAUAACAAUUUCACUGGGCCUAUUCCAUACUCCAUUGGCAAGCUUACACAGCUGACAGAGCUCUAUCUGCGAAACAAUGCAUUUGAAGGUCACAUACCGCCCUCCUUGGGAAACCCUCAACUACUGUUAAAGCUGGAUCUUAGCUACAACAAACUUCAAGGUACCAUACCUCUAGAGAUUAGUAACCUUAGACAACUCAUCUACCUACAACUUGCAUCAAACAAGCUUAAUGGGGAAAUACCUGAUGCAUUGGGGAUGUGCCAAAACUUAGUAACCAUCCAAAUGGACCAAAACUUUCUCAGAGGAGACAUGCCAAUUUCUUUUGGCAAUCUAAAUAGCCUAACCAUACUAAAUAUAUCUCAUAACAACUUAUCAGGCACCAUCCCAGUAGCACUAGGCUAUCUACCCCUACUAAGCAAGCUGGACCUUUCUUACAACAACCUCCAAGGAGAAGUACCAACAGUGGGAGUAUUCAGAAAUGUGACAUCUGCUUAUCUCGAUGGCAAUUCAAGACUUUGUGGAGGAGUGACAGAUCUCCAUAUGCUCUCAUGCCCUCAAGUUUCUAAUAGAAUAAAAAGGGAUUCUGAUAUAACAAAGAGGGACUACAAUCUGGUCAGAUUAUUAGUACCGAUAUUUGGCUUUGUGUCACUCACAGUGCUGAUAUACCUUACAUGCCUAGCAAAGAGGACAUCAAGAAGAACAGACCUAUUGUUGCUUUCUUUUGGAAAGCAGUUCCCUAGGGUUUCUUACAAGGAUCUAGCCCAAGCUACAGGGAAAUUCUCAGAGUCAAACUUAAUUGGAAGAGGAAGUUACAGUUCAGUAUAUAGAGCGAAGUUAGCUCCGACUAAACUACAAGUUGCUCUUAAGGUUUUUGACCUUGAAGUGAGAUGUGCAGAUAAAAGUUUCUUAUCAGAAUGUGAGGUCUUGAGAAGCAUUCGACAUAGAAACCUUCUUCCUGUCCUAACUGCAUGUUCAACGAUAGACAAUAGUGGCAAUGCUUUCAAAGCUCUGAUUUAUGAAUACAUGCCUAAUGGGAAUUUGAAUAUGUGGUUGCAUAAACAAUUUGCAAGUGUUGCUUCAAAAUGUUUGAGUUUAGCUCAAAGAGUGAAUAUAGCUGUGGACAUUGCUAAUGCAUUGUCCUAUUUACACCACGAAUGUGAAAGGUCUAUUGUCCAUUGUGAUUUGAAGCCAACUAAUAUUCUUCUUGAUGAUGAUAUGAAUGCAUAUUUGGGAGACUUCGGCAUUUCAAACCUCGUUAUUGAGUCUAGAGUCACCUCACUUGGACAUUCUAGUCCAAAUAGCUCAAUUGGAUUGAAGGGAACUAUAGGGUAUAUAGCUCCAGGUAUAUAUGGUUAUUUCCACAUCUUCGAUUCAUGAAAGGCAAUUUGUUUUCUGCAUUAAUACUUCAACAUUACAUUGUUUAAUUAGUGUGAUUUUUAUCUUUUCUUUUAGAGUAUGCUCAGUGUGGCCAUGCAUCAACAUAUGGGGAUGUUUAUAGUUUUGGAAUAGUACUUCUAGAGAUGCUGACAGGUAAAAGACCAACAGACCCUAUGUUUGAGAAUGAGCUCAACAUUGUCAACUUUGUGGAGAAGAACUUCCCAGAGCAGAUACCACAGAUAAUUGAUGCUCAACUCCAAGAAGAACGCAAGAGAUUUCAAGCAACAGCCAAGCAAGAAAAUGGUUUCUAUAUAUGCUUGUUGUCUGUAUUGCAAGUGGCUCUUUCUUGCACUCGUCUGAUCCCAAGAGAACGAAUGAACACUAGAGAAAUAGCUAUUAAGUUGCAUGCAAUUAAAACUUCCUAUGCAGAAGCGACCAAGCGAGAAAGUACGCUUUGCAGGAGAGAGUUAGAGUGUGUCAUGGAACUAGUGUAAUUGUGAUGUUUUGUAGUUGUAGGCUUUGAAUGCGAUGUGGAUGAACUGCCAAACAGGCCAUCAGCAUACACAGAUACACUGGAUGUGAGAAACUACUCUUCUGUACAGCAACAUGGCUGUGUGCCUGUGGUGGAUGGUGUAUUAUUGGUGUAUUAUUUGGGUUUCGCAAACUUGGGGAACGUCUUUUACAGUUUGUCUAACUGGGAUAAUGGGAUUGCGAAGGAUCUAAGCUUUGAUUCUCUUUCUGAACAGCUUGUCAUGGUAAUUAAUAAUACGAAAAUGAAUCAUAAUAUGCACAUCUGUUGUCAGAUUACAUCGGAGAACACUGCCAAUCGCCAAAUCCACUUUUUUUCACUUAGACCUAGGACUAUCACAUCCCCCCGGCAUAAAAAUAAGGACUAUCGCAUCCUACUAAGUUGGGUCGAUCCCUAAAUCCAAAUCCCAACCUGCAGUUGGUAAUCACUAGAGGUCAGAUUGAGGAAACCCUCGGCCUCGGGUACCUGAACCCUGCAGCGGUAUGCCCACUCGCCGAAUGCCCGUCCGUGUGCCUCUUCGCUCCGCCCUCUAGCGAAGUGCGCCGCCGCUGCAGCGCCUGCGCGCGAGACGUGGACUGUGGAGUGGUCGGGUGCUACGGUGCUACCUCCGCGUCCGCCGCAACGUCGUGGAGUCGCGCUGUUAAGUGGAACCAAACAAGACAGGGCAAAGCUACUCCUUCCGAGUUCCGUCAAAAAAAAAAAUAAACAUGGGAGGGAUGUGAUAUUUUCUAAUACAAUGAAUCUGGAUAAAAGGCCAUCCAGAUUCAUUUUACUAGAUAAUGUCGCAUCCUUGUCUAGGUUAUGUUUUUUUAACAAAGGAAGUAUGUUGCGACGAAGAUGGAUAGGCUCUUUUAGGCUCCUAGUAGAAUGGCAGUUUGGCAAGGAAAAAGUCCCUCAACUUAUCAUCGAGUUACAAAAUCGUCCCCCAACCACAAAACAAGAUAUAUAGCAUCCUCAACUUACAAAACCGUUCACUUUAGGCCAUUCGGUGGUUUUGACCCCGGUAUUGUCCGACGUAACAGCUGACUCGGCGUGGGACCCGCAUGUGUCGCACAUGUCAGACUGCCCUCGUCAGCCACUUCUUACCCUCCCCCAUCAACUCACUUCCUCUCCCCUCCCCUCUCCAUGGGCGGUGGCCAACGGAGAGCAGCCAGGACACGGCAGGACGGUGUGGCGGGCACGGUCGGCGCUGCAGAGGAGCACAUCGCGGUCGGGCGCCGCCAUGGCCUCUUUUGUCUUCGUCAUGCCUUCGUCGCCGCUAUGGCCUUCCUUGUAUCCUCUCCCCAAGGGUCGGCGGCGGCGAGCACGGCACGCCGCGACGUGGUGUGCCCUGUUGAAGUCACCCCGGUCGACGAGGUCGGCACACGCGAGCGGGGAGGGGCGUCGGUGGCAGGACCAUAGGGGCAGAGCGAAGGGGGAGCUGGAGGGGAACGGUGGUGGCGAGGUGGAGGAAGAGGGCGCCGCUUCGACGAAACUCCCAUCCAGGGCGAGGGAGGAGCGGAAGACAGAGACCGCGGCAACGGGAGGGAGGUGGGGAUGGAGGCGGCGAGGAGAGAGUUUGCCGGUUGACGCGCUGUCGUCGCCGCCGUUGUCCAUCCUGCCCUUGCUCAUCCGCGAGGCUGUCCUCAACGAGUCGCCGCCUAAAAGUGCUUUGUUCAUAGUUUCUAGAUCAAAAAAGAGAUCUAUGAGUCCAGGCAUACCAAAGGCGUGGCCGCCGCUCAUCCACAUACGCCAUCAGUCGCUCAUCACGCGUUCACGCUCCGCCAUCCAGCGACGGGGCGACCACGUCACCGCCUGGCAAAUCCAAGAAGAACUAGUAGGAGGGGCUGAACAAACCGUAUAAAACUAUAGUCCCCUCUUCUAAUGAAUGUAUGACAUAAUAAAAUUCUAGUGGGGUUUUAUGGGGCCUCUUAUGAUUACAAUACCGGAAGUGGAGGCUCGAGACCCUAUAGCCCCCAUGGUAGAUCCGCCUGCCUGCAAGCCUAGAUCGAGUGUGGCGGUCAGCGGAGUUUGGUCAGGUGAAGCAUCGAUGAAUACAGGCAGUGUCGUUUCUUCUGGGCUUGGUGAUGCUGCACCAUUUCUCCCUGGAAAAAGUACACCGAAGGUCCCUCAACUUGUCAUCGGGAUACAAAAACGUCCUCAAACCGCAAAACCAGAUACGCAACGUCCCUCAACUAUACAAAACCGGUCACAAUAGGUCCCUCGGCGGUUUUGAUCCCGGUUUUGUCUUACGUAGCGGCUGAGUCAGCGUGAGACCCACGUGGGCCCCACAUGUCAGUGUAAUCCACGUCAUCACCCUCCCUCUCUCCCCCCCUCUUCUCUCCCUUCCUCAAAUCUCUCUCUCUCUCACUUAUCUGCAAGGUAGCCGACGCGAGACGGGAGAGGAGGGGGGCGGCGCCGCGACAGCGGCGGCGGUGGCGGCCGCCGCCGCCGCAGUGGGGAAGCAUGGCAGAGGCGCGGGGAGGCCGGCGAGCUCCUCCCAAGUACAAAUCCGACGUCGGCUUGGCGGUGGCGGCGAGGCGGGAGGAACGCGGUGAGGACGGCGACGCCAUGAGGGCGCUCGAGGACCGGUGCCAUGACGGCGGGGAGGCGCGGGAAGGCCGGCGUCGGCGUCGGCUUGUUGAUGGCGGCGAGGCGGGAGGAACGUGUCGGCGCCGGGAGCCGGAGCGGCAGGAAGCAGGUACAGGCGCGAUGGCGACGGCUCGCCAGGACCAAGCGCUGUCGUCGCUGGGAGCUGGAGGGGGAGGAGCUCGCGGGAGUUGUUGAAUCGAAUGUUCGAUGGCGAGCGCGCCACGACGGGGUGAUUUCGCAAGUGUUGCGUGAAGACGGCAGGUCGGUUUAUAUAGAGAAGGGUCGCUUGAUCAGGGCGCUCGCACGAUCUCUACUGCGCGUAACCGAACCGGAUAAGUCGCGCGUAACUUAUCCGGACUUCACGCCGUUUGCACGCACCGGAUUUUUCGGAACGUUUCCAAAACAAAAACGAAUCCGAAUUUGUAGCAAAACAAAACUGCAAAAGGAGGCUGCAUCUGCGCAAGGGUGAGGAGCCAAUUUUUCGGACCAUUCGACGCGUACGUCGUGCACGCGCGCCGCCGGCCCGGCCCGGCCCGGCCCGGCCCGGCGAGCGAGCGCGCGCGUGUGUUUCCCCUCUUCUCUCCACCACACAUGCUUCAAGUGGCUAGGAGGACAUCCUCCCUUUUAAGGAGGUCCCCCUCUCCUAGAAUAAGCAAGGUGGUACUAAACUCCACAUGCAUGCCAUCCCAUGAGGUGGGCUUUUGUGAUUUUCCAAAGAAUUAAUCUUCGAGUGGGCUAAGGCCCAUUCAUUAAUUCCAACAAUCCCCCACCAAAUCUCAAAAUCCCACUGAGAUUUGCCUUUUCCAAUAUACUGUUUAUAUACCAGCGGUUCGAUGGAGACCAAUUAAGGUUGAACAUCCACCUAGAACUCCAAGCUACACUUACUCACAACUUGAACAAUGGACUACGCCUUGAAUUGCAAGUCUUGUGCAAGCAAGUUUCACUCAAAGUCUUAUCUGAUACUAGACCGUCUGUAGACUACCCCUCGGGUGGAGCGUAUAAGUCAUACUCCUAGGUCUUUAGUAAGCUUCCUAGAAGAUUCACCCAAAAUCUUCAUAGACUGCGACCAACAGUCAAGCUCACAAAGGUGAGUUCUUUCAAAAAUGCUCUGCAGGACAACAUCUUCGCUAAUUAAAGCCAACAGAACUCAUUAAGGCAUAGCCAACCUGCCUUGCAGCUCACGAGAGUAUAUGCAUCUUCACUUGGAGAGGGUAUAUAUAUUGGUACUCUCCUUUAGUUUAUUAAUGGUUUGUUCUUCCCAGGAUCUAAUUCACGGGAUCUCCGAUCACAUAAACUGGGUUACCACCAUAGUAUAACUCACAUGGGUCUCAAACCCAUCUCCUUCGAUGCAUUGUCUAUCACAUUUCGUGAUAGUCCCUUCGUGAAGGGAUCUGCCAGGUUUCUCGCUGUUUGGAUGUAAUCCAACGUUAUAACUCCGGAGUUUCUUAAUUUCCUGACAGACUUCAAUCGUCUUUUCACAUGUCUAGACGAUUUCAUAUUAUCCUUAGAACUAUUCACUUUGACAAUUACCGUUUGAUUGUCACAGUUCAUAAGGAUAGCCGGCACCGGUUUUUCAACAAUAGGCAGAUCCAUUAAUAGAUCACGCAGCCAUUCUGCCUCAACAGUAGCAGUAUCCAGUGCCGUUAGCUCUGCUUCCAUGGUUGACCUCGUCAAAAUGGUCUGUUUGCAAUACCUCCAUGAAACAGCACCACCACCCAGUGUGAAAACAUAUCCACUAGUGGCUUUGAUCUCAUCCACAUCAGAGAUCCAGUUAGAAUCACUAUAACCCUCCAGUACCGCAGGAUACCCAGUAUAGUGAAGCCCCAAUUCCACAGUACCUUUCAGAUAGCGCAUUACUCGCUCAAGCGCACGCCAAUGAUCAUCUCCCGGAUUAGAGGUAAAUCGGCUUAACUUGCUCACAGCAAAGGAGAUAUCAGGCCUAGUUGCACUAGCCAGGUACAUCAACAAGCCAAUGAUUUGGGAGUAUUCCAGUUGAUUCCUAGCAAUUCUCUUGUUCUUGCGAAGCAACAAGCUAGGAUCAUAAGGUGUUGGAGAAGGCUUAUUAUCAAUGUAGCCAAAACGAUUCAAGAUCUUCUCCACAUAAUGGGACUGCAAGAGUGUAAUCCCAUUCUCACCUCUAAUUAGCUUAAUGUUUAAGAUAACAUCAGCUACUCCCAAAUCCUUCAUAUCAAAAUUUUGAGACAAGAAUGAUUUAACCUCAUUUAUCACCUCAAGGUUUGUCCCAAAUAUCAGUAUGUCGUCAACAUACAAGCACAAAAUAACUCCCUCACCCCCACCAUGGCGAUAGUACACACAUUUAUCUGCCUCAUUGACUGCAAAGCCUGCAGAUGUCAAUGUUUUGUCAAAUUUCUCAUGCCAUUGCUUAGGAGCUUGUUUCAGACCAUACAAAGACUUCAACAAUUUGCACACUUUGCCUUCUUGACCUUCAACUACAAACCCAUCAGGUUGAUACAUAUAGAUCUCCUCAUCCAGCUCUCCAUUAAGAAAAGCUGUCUUAACGUCCAUUUGAUGAACGAGAAGACCAUGUGAGGCUGCUAGGGAAAGUAGCACACGAAUUGUGGUCAAUCUAGCAACAGGUGAGUAAGUGUCAAAGAAAUCUUCGCCUUCUUUCUGAGUAUAGCCCUUAGCAACAAGCCGAGCCUUGUACUUUUCAAUAGUACCGUCAGGCCUAAGCUUCUUCUUGAACACCCACUUGCACCCCACAGGUUUACACCCAUAGGGUCGCUCUGUCACCUCCCAAGUCCCGUUAGCGAUAAUGGAAUCCAUUUCACUACGGACAGCCUCCUUCCAGUAGUCUGCAUCAGGAGAUGCAUAUGCUUCUGAAAUUGACUUAGGAGUGUCAUCCACGAGGUACACAGUGAAAUCAUCACCAAAAGACUUAGCCGUCCUUUGUCUCUUACUCCUUCGAGGAGCUUCACUGACAUCCUCCUCAGAGACAAGUUCAUGUGUAUGUUCAGUUUGUUCUGGUGGUGUGAUUGAACUGGGAAUUAUUUCAGAGGGUUGGUUCGAACCACUAUGUGUAUCCUUCAUUGGGAAAAAGCUCUCAAAGAAGGUAGCAUCACGAGACUCCAUAAUUGUACCAACAUGCAUGUCCGGUACCUCGGAUUUAACUAUUAAAAAUCUAUAGGCAAUGCUAUGAUGAGCAUAUCCCAGAAAAACACAGUCCACAGUCUUAGGUCCAAGUUUGCGCUUCUUCGUUAUUGGUACAUUGACUUUCGCCAAGCACCCCCAUGUGCGCAAAUAAGAAAGUGAUGGUUUUCUACCAAUCCAUAUCUCAUAUGGUGUUUUGUCCUUAUUUCUGUUAGGAACUCUGUUUAACACAUGAUUUGAGGUCAACAAUGCCUCCCCCCACCAUGCCUUAGGCAGUCCCGCGGUGUCCAACAUGGCAUUCACCAAGUCAGUCAGUGUGCGGUUCUUCCUUUCAGCAAUCCCAUUAGACUUGGGAGAAUAGGGAGGCGUCCUCUCAUGUAUGAUGCCAUGUUCCUCACAGAAUAAGUCAAACUCGUUCGAGAAAAACUCUCCACCACGAUCAGACCUAAGCCUUUUUAUCUUUCUGUCAAGUUGAUUUUCAACUUCUGCCUUAUAAAUUUUAAAAUAGUCUAGAGCCUCGUCUUUCGUUUUCAACAAGUACACAUAGCAAAAUCUAGUAGCAUCAUCAAUCAAUGUCAUGAAAUAUCAUUUUCCACCCUUCGUCAACACCCCAUUCAUUUCACAAAGAUCUGAAUGUAGGAGUUCUAGUGGUGCCAAGUUUCUCUCAUCGGUAGCCUUGUGAGGCUUGCGAGGUUGCUUCGAUUGCACACAACUAUGGCACUUAGAACCUUUGACAAUGGAAAACUUAGGAAUUAAACACAUGCUGGAAAGCCGAGACAUCAAGCCAAAAUUAAUAUGACAUAAACGUGAAUGCCAAACAUUAGCCUCAUCAUCCACACUGCCACAAAUAUGGUUCACAGACUUAUUGCAGAAAUCAGAAAGGGAAAAGCGGAACAGGCCUCCGCACUCAUAACCUUUACCAAUAAAAUAUCCAUGUUUAGACACGACUACUUUAUUAGACUCAAAAACCAACUUAAAUCCGUCUCUAGUCAGACGGGAGCCACUAACAAGAUUCCUGUCGAUAGAAGGGACAUGCUGCAUGUUCUUCAGCUGCACGAUCUUUUCCGAAGUAAACUUCAGAUCUACCGUGCCAACACCAUGAACAGAAGCAUGUGACCCAUUCCCCAUUAGGACGGUGGAACCCCGUGCGACCUGAUAAGAAGAAAACAAUGAGAUGUCAGCACAAACAUGUACAUUGGCCCCAGUAUCAACCCACCAAUUAGUAGAUUGAUUAACUGAAAAAACAGUAGGUAAAUUACCAUACCCGCUUCCAUCUCCAGUGUUGCCAAUGGUCACAUUAGCAGACUUAGAAGUCUGCCCUGCAGGUGCCUUCAUCCCCUUGCGCUGUGGACACUUCCUAGCCAGAUGACCAACUUGGCCACACACAAAGCAAGUCCUCUCAUCCUGAUUAGGAUUGUUGUUGUUCUUCUUCUGCUUCUUGAAGUUGGUGGUCUGCUGAGCUUUGUAUUUCCCCUUGCUCUUGUUCUGGGCCUUGUGCACAACAUUGGCACUGGACUGCCCACCAUCGCCCUUAGACGCGGCAUCUUUUUCCCGAGCUUUCUCCUCAACAUCAAGAGACGCAAUCAACCCCUCAACGGAGUAUUCCUGUCUCUUGUGUUUGAGUGCAGUACCAAAACUUCUCCAAGAUGGAGGUAGUUUUGCAAUAAUGCACCCAGCCACAAAUUUGUCGGGUAAGACACACUUAAGGAGUUCGAGUUCCUUAGCCAUGGUUUGUAUCUCAUGAGCCUGUUCGACUACAGAACGGUUGUCAGCCAUCUUGUAGUCAUGAAACUGCUCCAUGAUAUACAAAUCAUUACUAGCAUCAGUAGUACCGAAUUUAGUAUUCAGUGCAUCCCACAACUCCUUAGCGUCGGUCAUAUGCAUAUACACCUCGACCAGACGAUCGCCAAGAACGCUAAGAAUGCAUCCCACAAAGAGAGUAGUGGCUUCCUCGAAUUGCUUCUGCUGUUCAGCAGUAAGAACUCCUUCAGGUUUGCCAGUACUCACCCAGAAGCAUUUCAUAGCUGUCAGCCACAGAGUGACCCUGAUCUGCCAUCUCUUAAAAUGCACACCGGUGAAUUUAUCCGGCCUCAGUGCAUCGGCAAAACCAGCCAUAGUAAAAUCACAGUGCCUAUAAUAAGGUUUUUGGAUUGUUGAGAUUAUAGACAUAUAAUGAUUUAAUCUAUUCCAUAAAUAAAUCAUGACAUUACAGAUGAAAACUAGCAUGAACGCAUCAUUAGAUCUAUACAUGUAAACUACACAGUAUAACAUGAACAGAUCAAAUAUGCGCAACAUAUUGAACACGUACCGAGGUGACGUAAAGACCGGUUGCUUGGUUGAAACUUUUCGCAGGUGUCUACGAAGACACGAAACACGCGAGCGAAGAGGAAGGCGAGCCGUCGCGAACAAACAGGGAGCAGUCGCGCGAAGCGCUUCCCAAAAACCUUAUUGCCGCCUUCUCCCGGUGCAGGACGUCGAAGGCAGAGGUUCCGGAGACCUGCUCUCCCGAUCGCCGGUGCACGCCGGCGAGCGGGAUGGAGUAGUCUACGAGCGACGGCGCAGUACAGAGUAGGAGGCAAACCCCAGAUUGAUUUCGCAAGUGUUGCGUGAAGACGGCAGGUCGGUUUAUAUAGAGAAGGGUCGCUUGAUCAGGGCGCCCGCACGAUCUCUACUGCGCGUAACCGAACCGGAUAAGUCGCGCGUAACUUAUCCGGACUCCACGCCGUUUGCACGCACCGGAUUUUUCGGAACGUUUCCAAAACAAAAACGAAUCCGAAUUUGCAGCAAAACAAAACUGCAAAAGGAGGCUGCAUCUGCGCAAGGGUGAGGAGUCAAUUUUUCGGACCAUUCGACGUGUACGUCGUGCACGCGCGCCGCCUGCCCGGCCCAGCGAGGCGAGCGAGCGCGCGCGUGUGUUUCCCCUCUUCUCUCCACCACACAUGCUUCAAGUGGCUAGGAGGACAUCCUCCCUUUUAAGGAGAUCCCCCUCUCCUAGAAUAAGCAAGGUGGUACUAAACUCCACAUGCAUGCCAUCCCAUGAAGUGGGCUUUUGUGAUUUUCCAAAGAAUUAAUCUUCGAGUGGGCUAAGGCCCAUUCAUUAAUUCCAACAAGAGGUACAUCGAGCACUACGAGAAGGAGAUGGGGAAGCCUGUGUUCGCCGUCGGGCCGGUCUGCCUCGUCAACGGCGACGGCGACGAUGUCCUGAAGCGCGGACGCCGCGGGGAAGCGGGCGCUGGCGUGGCUCGAUGCCGUCGACGAGCGGCACCUGCUGCUGCACGGCCGCCGUCGCCGCAGCUGUUGGUAUCAGCUCGGCGUCGCAUGAACACCACGCGACAGGAAGCCGUCGACCUCGGCGGCUGUCGACCUCAGCGGCCGUCGACCACGCGAGGAGGUUGCUCCUAGACUGCAGCGCGGCGCGGAGGUCGAUCCCAAUCCCGAUCCCAGCGCCACUGUGCCACCGCAACGCCCACCGCGGCGACUGACGGGGGAGCCCGCGCGCUGCUCCUCCCCCCGCCACCCGCGCGCCGCCAUCCCCCGCCGCCCACGCGCAGCUCCUCCCCCCGUCGCCAGCGCACUGUCCUCUGCCGUCCGCACGCCGCCCCUUCCCCGCCGCCUAUCUGCAACUCCUCCCCCGCCGCCGUCUCGUGGGACUCGUGGGUGGUGGCCGGCAGGGGAGCCCGCGCGCCGCUCCUCCCCCCACCGCCCGCGCACCGUCCUCACCUUCCCUCCCCCACCACCACCUCCAAGAAAUGCUUUCCCCGCCGGAUCCCCCCGCGGCGCGGUGGCCGGCGUCCUCCUCCUCCUCCGCCGCCGCAUCGACGGUGUGCCCCACUGCUCCCUCCCGGCCGCCUCCGCGGUGUCGUCCACUCGUCCCUGCAAGUGUGAGAGCUGAGAGCGAGAGGAAGGAAAGAGAAACAGAGAAAGAGAAAGGGGAAGAGAGAGGGUGACGUGGGCACCUUACAUGUGGGGCCCACGUGGGUCUCACGCUGACUCAGCCGCCACGUUAGAUAAAAUCGGGAUCGAAACCGCCGAGGGAUCUAUUGUAAAAUUUUGUAUAGUUGAGGGACCUUGCAUAUCUUGGUUUGCGGUUUGAGGAAGUUUUCUUAUCUGGACGACAAGUCGAGGGACAUUGAGUGUACUUUUUCCUUUCUCCCUUGAUUUUGUGGGCCGUUUGUCGUUAAUAUGGCCCAUUAUUUGUUGGCCAGUUCGUUGGCUGGGCCUUGGCCUGGGUCAUAAGGCCAGUUUACCUGAGUGAACCGCGGGCGGCGCCUGAAGAGUGAAGACAAUCGGCAGUGGCGUGACACGGCUGAAACUUCGCCGGUGACUGUUUGCUUUCCGCAUCGCGUGUAGUAGUAAAAUUUUGGAAAGCGGACAGAAUACUGGUCUACUGCUACUGGAGAUGGAAAAUCCGAGUAAUACCGAUUCUGAUCAGUAGAAGCGGUCAAGACACGGCAGAGCAAGGCGCUAGAUGUGAGUCAUGUGACACUGCUGAAGAGUUGUGAUUUUUGAGGCCACUGUCCAGGGGCCCAACUGCCCAAGCCGGCUGUACUCGUCGUAGGCAAAACAUGGCCACCCGCUGUUCGCUCUGAGUAGAGAGGAUAUCUUCGAUUCUUCAUUGGUAGUAUGCUAUGCCCAAUGCCCUACGCACAGGCUCAGCGGUGUUCAUCUUGUGGAAAGAGAUAUAACAUGGCUGUUUUAUUCAUAUUUUGCAGGUGAUAUGUGUUCCAAGCAGGAACAACCCGCGAAACUCGCCGUGUUCGUACAACUGGUGUUGCUGCUGCUAUGCUAUGGAGUUGGCAACAAUGUCGUCGUGACGUCGUCCAUUGCUCAACUGUCCGCGAGAACAACAUAGAUCUACAAUCGCUGAUUGAUUUCAAGAAGGGUAUCACUGAAGAUCCAGGAGGAGUCUUGCUCUCUUGGAACACUAGGACCCAUUUCUGUUGGUGGAAUGGUGUCAUAUGGGUGGUGUGUGGUCAUAAUAGUACUGGACAAGUAGCCGUAUAGAUGAACAAAGAGCUUAAUCCACAUACCAGUUAACAUGGGAUGGAACGCCACGGCUAUUCUACAUAAACUCCCUAGCACAAUUUUAACCAAACUAAAAUCAAUUUCCUAAUUCAAAUUUAGAAUCUGAAGCGGCUAAUCACGAACGAGUAAAGACCGAUGAGAUCUAGGAACCACGGAAUACCUUUGGGAGGCGGAUGGUCGUUCGCUGGCGGCGUCUCACCGUCUUCCCUCCGGCGACGCGCGCCCGCGCGCGCGCACUGGCAGUGGCGGAUCCACGGUUGGGGCUGGUUGGUGCCCCAGCCUCACCUCUACCCUGCUCCUAAUUAAUCAUUAACAAGUCUAGUUAGUCAUUAGUGAAGAAAUUUCCAGAUGGCAAGGAUGCAGGCUGCUGCCUCACUGCUUCUACUGCCCAAACUGAUAAAACAAAACAUACUCCGAGUAUACAUAACAACAUAAUCACAGAUAGAGAAAGUAUUGGGAAUAUUUUAAUAUAGCCACCAAUCAAAAUAGAGAAAGUUCUUUUGAUCGUGGUUUUCAUUGGAAAAUACUUUAGUUGAUAUAUCUUUAUUUGUUUUAAUCAUAUUAUAUUUUUUUUACACUAGUACCCCACAAUUUAAAUCUGGAUUCGCCACUGCUCACUGCGGAACAUCGCGCGGCAGUGCGGAUAACAGGAGAAGCUCCAGUUAUUCGUGGGAAGUGGCCAGUGGUGGCGACGCGUGGGCGUGGCAGACUGUGACAUUAUGGGCCUGUGGCCUUCCAAUGGACCUGUUCGUGUGGUCUGGUUGCUGUCCUUAUUUGGGCCAUCAGCUGCAACAGGCCUCCUGAGUCCUGACGGCAACCAAAUGUCUGGACUGAAUUAUACCUGCAUGUUUUUUUUUUUUUGAAAACUAUUACUUGCACGUUCUAGUUCGACAUCAAUCGUGACAGAAGAAUGCAGAGUCUAGACAGGAGGAAUACGAUUGCUCGGACGGAAACGGCAUCUAGAGCGAGUAGAUCACGACCAACAAAAUUGAUCUUUGUCGUUGUAGAGCCGUCUCGACUUUGGCCUGUUCUGUAUUGCGGUCAAGCUACGGCAAACGUUAAGCAUAUGUCGGACAAGGGAAUUGGAUAACGAAUUUACAACCACACGCUCAGAUUCUAAAUCUAAACAAUCUAGCUUUGUACAAAAUUGCAUGAAAAAUCAGCUGAACUAAUACGGCCAUUGCAACUGCCGUUAAUUGUAGGGGCGAAAACAGUGACCGAGCCACUGUCCGACUAGACCGGGCAGCCAUCUAGGUUCGUCGGUGAAAACUCCAUUAAAUUUUAAUAUUAACUAAAAAAACACACAUGCGUUGCAAACUUGCAAUAUGUGAAAGAUUUUUUUUUUACAAAAUCAUAUGCUGUAAUUAGGAGUACGAUUGUCUCAAGUUAGCAUGUAAAUUUGUUUAAAGAGAUUUCUUAUACAACUCUUUCUGUAUUUCUAAAAGCGUACGAAUUUAAAAACCGAAUCAAAUAUGGAUAUGUAUUUCCAAAAGAAAAUAGACUUCAAAACCAACUCAAACACGGAUGACAUACUAAAGUACUGAUAAAAUAUUUUCAGUUUUUAUAAUAGUAAAGAUGAGUAAAUUUAUGAUGAAAUUUUUAUAAUAAAUAAUAAUUAUAUUGAAGUUUGACUGAACUCAAAAAUUUUCUAGCUCUACCAAUGAGCACAAAGACAAAAUAUACACUUCCUUUCUUAUCUUUCUUAUGUCACUCAUCAGGAUAGCAUUAGCAUACCACCCACCCUGUUUCCUGGGUGAUGUCGGUGAUCUAUCUCGGUAUGAUUCCCAGUGACCACUGGCCAGUAGCCCAGUAGUAGUUGGCAAGACCCCCUUUCGUGCUCCGCAUAACCGAGCUGUACUUCUGGAUGUUCUCCAGCACGGGAACGCACGGUCACCGACCACCAUUAUUGGCGAACAACCUCUCGUUGCAGUUUGAGCCUCCUGUACGUACGUGUGGCUGUGCCCAUUCCGAAACACUCGGGGAGGUCUCCAAACUGAUCACGGCCAAAAUGAUCUCCCUCGCGCAACAUGGGCAUCCGCACAUGCGGACGGCGAGCGCCGGUUUGCGCCCGCCAUGCGUACAAUGAUUGGGAACGUACGUUCGUUGCUCCCCUUGCCGCCGGAGCACCGCCCGACCCGUGAAUCCGUGUCGCGACGAGUCGCGACCAACUGGCGUCUGUCGCGUAGUGCUCUCCCGUGUACGUACGAGUAUAGUGGGCCGAAUCGGCACUGUGCCGCGGUACGCGUAAGUUGUUUAUUCUGGUUUCUCCAAGAUUGGGAUUCUAGCAGCUUUGGGGUGGGUACAACAGUGUUCUGCACUUGUUCUCUCGUAUAUUCCUACAGUACAUAUUCUGUUCUCCGGUACAAUAUGUGAUUCAAUUGUGGGGCUACUUGCACGCGGUACACAAAAAUAAUACCCUGAACAAGCUGCUGGGGAAAUCCAGAGUUUGGACAAUAUGUUUUAGGCCCUGUUUAAUUUCCCAAAAAAAAAUUACACCUUGUCAGAUCGAACGGUUAAACACCUACAUGAAGUAUUAAAUAUAGGCUAAAAAAUAAUUUAUUGCACAGAUUGCGACUAAUUUGCGAGGCAAAUCUUCUAAACUUAAUUGUUCCAUGAUUUGACAAUAUGGUGCUACAGUAAACAUUUGCUAAUAAUGGAUUAAUUAUGCUUAAUAAAUUCGUCUCACGGUUUACUGAUGGAUUAUGUAAUUAGUUUUUUUUUUAUUAGUGUCAAAACACCCUAUGCAACACUUUAUAUAAUAUCCGAUGUGACACGCCAAAAUUUUACACCCUAAAUCUAAACACCCCCUUAUUCAUAGGUACACCUGGCAUAACAUGCAUACCCACUAGGGUACUAGGUGUUCCUUUUUAAUGACGAUUUAAUGGAUCAUGGACAUGUAUUAUGAAGCUAAAAAUUAUGGUUGAUGGAUUAUGUGUGUGUUAUUGGUGCCACAAUUUCAAAAUCAAGAUUUUUAUGCGCAUGAUUAAACAUAAGACCUUAAAAUUAAAACCACACAUAAUAAAAUGUCACUACACUAUCAGGUGUGUAUCGGAAGCUCAGAGACCAUAUCCUUAAUUCCAUUUAUUGAUCUCCAGUCUCCACCUAAGCCUCUCUAAAUUCUUCAUUGUUGUAUACCUCGACAGGCACAUCACGUUGAAAUUGCUAAUGCGCGGCUAGUCGCGCGCGCCCUCCCGCGCGGCGAGGCACGUGGCGCGCGCCGAGAGGGCCACGGCGGCAGCGCGUGCGUAGGGUGGGGCCCGCACGAUUUUCUUUUUUUUUUCCUUGUUCGGUUUCUCCUUUCCGGUUUUCUUUCCUUUUUUUUCUUUCCCUUUUUUCCUUUUCGGUUUUUUACAUAUACGUAUACAAACUUUUUAUAUAUAUGUAUACAAAGCUUGUAUACGUGUAUAUAAAGUUUGUAUACGUAUGUAUAAAUCCUUUGUAUACGUCAUAUAUAAAGUUUGUAUAUGUGUAUAGAAACUUUAUAUACACGUUCGUAUCUAAGGUUUGUAUACUUGUAUACGUAUACACAUGAUGUGUUUUUUUUAUUAUUUUUAAUACGUACAUCUACAAAGUUUGCAUAUUUCAUAUACAAAGUUUGCACACAUCAUAUACAAAGUUUAUACACAUUGUAUACAAAGUUUAUAUAUGUGUAUAUUUUUUUAUACAUAAAAAUAUAUAUUUGUUAGUAGUAGUAGUAUAGUAGUCCUAGUAGUAAUAGUAGUAUAGUAGUACUACUACUAGUAGUAAAUACUAGUAGUACUAGUAGUACUAGUGUACUAUACUAGUAACAGUAGUAGGGCGACGCGCGCCUACCCCACGCGCGGUCAGUCGCGCAUUAGGCGCCCGUAGGGUAAUCCUAAUGGGCGGUGAUCGCUCACUCCCCUCCCCAGUGAUCACGUGCCCCUCCACCUGUACUACUUUACCUCCCCUUUUUCUCUUACUACUACACCAUAAAAAUUUAAAUUAAAUUCAAAUUUGAAACGGGUAUGUAAACUUUUUACUUAUAAACUUUGGGUCUAUAAACUAAUAUUUGAAUUUAAAUCAAACUUUAGCUGUAUAAACUUUAGAUGUAUAAAAAUACUAUAUAUAGAAAAUAUUUAUAUUUGAAUUCAAAUUCAAAUUUGAAUCGGAUAUAAUUCAAAUUUAAAUUUGAAUCGGGUAUGUAAACUUUUGACUUAUAAACUUUAUGUGUAUAAACUUUAGAUGUAUAGAAAUACUGUAUAUAAAAAAUAUUUGAAUUCAAAUUCAAAUUUGAAUCGGAUAUACAAACUUUUGACUUACUAUAAACUUUGGGUCUCUGAACUUUAGAUGUGUAAACUUGAGGUGUAUAAACUUUAGAUGCAUAAAUUUACUAAAAUAGGAAAGUAAUGCGGUGCCAAAAAAGAAAACCAGGUGGAGGGAGGGAGGGGGAGGGGGGGAGCGAAUUGAUCGCUAUCCCCGUCGCCAGGCGAGCGAUCGCCCAUUAGCCGUUUCGCAUUACGUAGACACCAAUCUAUUAAGUUUGGCCCAAAAUAAUUUUAUCUGGCCUUGUGCAAAUUAAACUAUGUAUGGAAGUCUAAUGACAUUCUUUGCCUUCUAACAUUUUUUUAAUCAAGUUUAUGCCUUAAUUACCACUACCAAUAAAAUAAACAGUUACACAUAUUCAUCAAUUGAAUUUUUUCCGUUACUUUUUCUUUCAUCUCCCCUUCUGAUGUCCUCAAUUCAUCGUGAAACCCGUUUCUAGCCAGGCAGGCAGCAAUGCAAAUCAUCGUGGAACUAGUUAAUAGCUGGUGACCUCAAUUUGUUUUCGCGCGCGAGGCAGAGGCAUUAUUCUUUCUACUGAAGUUACCAUCACGGGCUGUCACCGAUGGUUUUCUUGAUCUUUCGCUAGCUACCGUGUUUGCUCCUCAUAUGGUGCGUAAAUAACUCCUUCCCUAGGCUUAUUAGUCCAUUCCAAUAAGUUUUAAUUUUACUCAUGAAUAAAUACUCAUAUGCUACUAUUUUGUCCCCUCUUCAUGUGUUCUUUGUUUCUCUGGUCUUCUAACUAUAAUCUGACACACUUCAAUUUUUGCCUAUAUCAUAAACAUAUAUAUAUAUAUCUUGCUGAUUUUUUUAUCAAUGUUCCUACGGAGUAGGAGUACUACCUUAAUCACUGCAACCAAUAAAAUAUUUUUUUCAGUUAAUUCUCGAGUAAUAUAUCUUGCUAUUUUUUUUAUAGAAGGCCUGAAAAGCCUAAUUUAUAAGCAUGGAAGUGAUGAAUGUCAUCAAUCUUUCUUUCUAAUGACCUGGCUCAAACCAAGAGCACUUGGAAACACAUUACCCAAUCCAACCAGCAAUUAGAAUUUUUCAAAGUUAUAGAAAAAAGUUGAAAGAUAUAUUUAAAUCACAGCUAUUAGUUGCACCUAAUGUUCAAGUGAUGUACAAAUUUAGAACAAUAUAUACGUGUAUAUAGUACAAGCAGUUAGAUGCAUGUUACACCUAACGUAUUCUAUCUAUCAUACAGAAGUCUCGCAGCAACACGCGUGAUCUCUCACUAGUUAUCCUAUACAAUCCAUUGCACCAAGGUAUGACAAAACUACUCCCUCCGUUUUAGACUAUAAGUCGUUUUGACUUUGGUUAAAGUCAAACAACUCUAAAUUUGACUAAAUUUGCAGGAAAAAGUAGUAACAUUUUUAACCCAAGACAAAUAUAUUAUAAAAAUAUACCCAAUUAUAGAUUUAAUGAAACUAAUUAGGUAUUGUACAAUAUUACUUCCAAACUUGAUAAAACUUAGAGUGUUUGACUUUGACCAGAGUCAAAACGACUUAUAAUCUGAAACAGAGGGAGUACAUAGGUAAAGAUUUUGUAUUGUAACUCACGGUGAAUCUUAUACUCCCUCUGUCCCAAAAUAUAACCAUUUUUAGCAUAGUGUCAAGUCAACUAUUUUUAACUUUGACUAUUAAUAAAAAAAAUAAAAAAAUAUCAAUCAUGUGAAAUUGAUGUUACUAGAUUUAUCAUUAAUUAAACUAUAAUAAUAUACCAUUCUUUUUAUUUAAAACACCUUAUUUUUAUAGAUAUUAUUGGUCAAAAUAGCAUCUCGAAAACUGUGUCGAGUCUAAAAAUACUUAUAUUUUGGGACGGAGAGAGUAAGUUUUUUAUUUCAUCUUUUUUUCUAAAGAAAACAAACCCAUGAUCCUCCUACGGCUGCCAAGUUCAUUGCGGUGGCAAAAGCACUCCUUAUGGUGCCCGGCCACGUUAUGUUGCAGCGAUGGCAUAUGGCACGAUGGUAGUGUUCGAGCACAUCAUGAACGUUGCUUUGGGGGAAUGGUCUACUUGGUGGAUUUCAGUUUCAAUGCGUGCUUAAGCGUGGUUUGCGCCAAUACGAUAACACAUAUUUUGUGCUAUGCUUUGUUUUAUUUCGUCAAGGAACGAGAUGAUGCAUUGGAUCGGAGAUGAAAUAGGAUGGGGUUGAACAACUUUCAUUCUGAUGUUUAAUUUAUAGUUCGGUUUAGCCUUUUUUUGCUAACUGGUUUUUCUCAAUUUAGAAAUAAGUUACAAUAACCUAUCACUUCAUAAGAUAUUUUAUAAAACUGCAUUAAUAGCAAACAAUUUUAUCAGAAAGCUUAUACUAGUAACUAGUGUAUAUAUCCCUGUAUAUAUGUGUAUAUGACACAUGUGCCUAACUUGCAGAAGCAUGCAUGAAUAUUGCAUAUGUAACAUGUAGGUCCAAACUUGUAAAAAGAAGAUGUGGUCCUAUGAUAAAUACUGUUGCUUGUUUGAAAUGUCUUGCAACAAAUUGAUAGUUUUGAUGAAAUAGUUGUAGUUUUCUAAAAUUUUGACCUAAAUUUCCUCUGUAGUGAAUGGUUUUGGCAUGGCAGAAGCUAACUAAAAUUUGCAUAUUUGGACACAUAUUAUUUGAUAUUUUAGAUUAAUAUAAUAAACAUUGAAUCCAUGAGGAUGGUGGGGUGGACACCAGCAUACCUAAGAAAAUAAAAAAGAAGUUAUGGUAUAAACUAUGUAUCAAUGGCCCAAAAGAUUUGAUGGGAUACUGCACAAACUGAACUACAAGAGGCACGAACCAGCUUUGUGGGCAUAAUAGCAAGAAGAAAAAUAAAUAUUAGGCAAAAUAUAAAAAGAAAAAUAUUAGGCAGAUUUCACGAGAAAAAAAGCAAAAAUAUUCGGCCUUAAAUUUUCGAAUUAACUUGGUCUAAUUUUUUUUUUGCUACCAUUAUAUAUGGCUUAUGAUGGUUUAAAAAAACGUGAAUAUUAAGGAAAGACCUAAUAUCAAAUAAAUAUAAGAGGUGAUGUUUCGAAUCUAUACCAACUAGUCCACUACCUUGUGAAGCUAGCCAGAAGAUCUCUGGGCGUUUCUCUGUCUUACGAUGGUUAACACAUCGUCGUCAUGGCACCAAAAUUAGCUAGACAAUGUUUGCUCUAGUCACUCGAAAUUAUUAUCCUAAUAGAGAAAAAAAAGAAAGCAUUAUAUCGUGUGAUAUAAAUAGUUCAUAUUACAAUCUGGUUGAUCGAUUUAUAUAAUUGUAUAUAAGAUGUGAUUGUACUUAAUUUAGUUAGCAUAAUUUACAUGAUACUAUCUACUACCUAAAAUAGAUCUUAACACGCAUUUGCACAUGCCACGCUGCUAGUUAAAGUGAUACAAUAACAAAAAUAUUUCUUGUAGUGUAACACUUAAUUGAAUUCAAUCUCCAACUUGAUUGUGAAGUACAAAACCAUAGGUCCAGAGUAGUGAAAGCAAUAUAAGGGACUUGGAAAAAAAAAACCACCCUCGAAAACGUUUGCUCUAGUCACUCAAAAUUAUUAUCUUAAUAGAGCAAAAAAGAAAGCAUUAUAUCGUGUGAUAUAAAUAAUUCAUAUUACAAUCUGAUAGAUCAAUCUAUAUAUAAUUGUAUAUAAGAUAUGAUUGUACUUAAUUUAGUUAGCAUAAUUUGCAUGAUACUACCUACUACCUAAAAUAGAUCUUACCACGCAUUUGCACAGGCCACGCUGCUAGUUAAACUGAUACAAUAACAAAGGUAUUUCUUGUAGUGUAACACUUAAUUGAAUUCAAUCUCCAACUUGACUGUGAAGUACAAAACCAGAGAUCCAGAGUAGGGAGAGCAAUAUAAGGGACUUGGAAAAAAAAACCAUUCUCUCGCCUUUUCUUCUCCUGUCAUUAAUAUGAACUUGAUUUUUAUAAAUGUGAUGAACUACGCCAAGACUAUGCACGCAACUAUUUCCAGACAUCUGGUAUUGAUUUCAUAUUCAAACCAACGUGCUUUCGACCUGUUCAUUGGGUUGGUGGUCACGGCUGAUAUUUCACCACUUCCUGAGAUAUUCAUAUAAUCAGUAUGGUGACAUAGCCGUGGAUGACACGGCAUUCGUAUGUAGCACUGCUAUCCAAAUCGAAUACAUACAAGUUUGCUAGACCCGCUGCUCUGUCAACGAACGAAUCCUGACCGCAGAAACAAAUUCUGGAAGAACCAAAAUGAAUUUGUGGAACGAGAAUCUUGAAAGGUAAACCGUUCAUGUGCUCAAAGCUUAUCUGCAUACAAGCCUUCGAGACCGGUCGCGGCUGUCGCAUAUCAGCGCAGAAUUUCUCUGUCCGGUUCCGGCUGAAAAGUAGGGGGAUAGAUGAAUAGUACGGCCAUCGGAUUCGAGGUUCGAGCUGGACAUGCCGCAACAACCUUGUCCAGAUCAAACAGGGACAGCAGCGUUUGGUGAUGAGCCGACGAGGUGAAAAGUUGCAGUAACUGGCAGGUUUGACGGACUCCAGGUCUUGCCUCUAGUGGCGGUCAAGCUGAGAUAAGGAGUGACAAUUAAGUGAGUGGAUGCGACAAUGCUGUAAAACCGUUUUUAAACCCCCGGGACCUGGGAGGCUGCUGAGCAAAGUUCAGAGUUCACAAACCACCACACCCAGCGGCACCAUAGACACCAAGCAGAACAGGCUGCUGAGCUCCGGCCGACCGAAGGUGCUCCAUUCUCUCUCCUCAUCAUUAUUGAUAUUUGCAGGAUCGAUCACUUGAGGUAAAUCAUAGAAGCUCAAAGUGAAGUGCGAAUAUUUUUGAAAAAUUGAGUUUUGUUCUGCUUUUAAGCUUUGAAAAGUCAGAUGUGUUCGUGGAUGAUCACAUAAGCGACCAUUUGCCUCGAUCGGUUAGCAUAGGCAGCAUGCCAUAAUGUUCAUGGUUGUAUAUUUUUGCAGGUAACAUGGGCCUCACGUGUGAUACACAAACUGCAAAACUGGCCAUUAUACUACUAGCAUUCAUACUGCUAUGUCAUGGGAUUGGCAACGUCGAUUGCCGUGGGAACAGAGCCGAUCAGCUCUCACUGCUUGAUUUCAAGAAGGGCAUCACCAACGAUCCAUAUGGAGCCUUGGCCACUUGGAACACCAGCACACAUUUCUGUAGGUGGCAAGGUGUCAAGUGCACCUCCACUGGGCCAUGGCGCGUCAUGGCGCUCAAUCUCUCCAGCCAAAGUUUGACAGGCCAAAUAAGGUCCUCUCUCGGAAACCUAUCCUUCCUUAAUAUACUUGACCUCGGCGAUAAUAACUUACUUGGCUCCUUACCUCGCCUUGGCAAUCUUAAGCAACUUCAGGCACUCUAUCUGUAUAAAAACAAUUUGACAGGGAUAAUUCCUGAUGAACUUACAAAUUGUUCCAGCUUAACGUACAUAGACCUCUCAGGAAAUGCCCUAACUGGUGCACUUCCUCCAAAUUUAGGCUCUCUGUCCAAUCUAGCUUAUCUUUAUCUUUCUGCGAACAAGCUAACUGGAACCAUCCCGCAGGCCCUUGGCAACAUCACCACCUUGGUAGAAAUCUAUCUUGAUACAAAUCGAUUCGAAGGGGGCAUUCCAGACAAGCUUUGGCAAUUGCCGAACUUGACAAUUUUGGCCCUAGGUCAAAACAUGCUAUCGGGUGAUAUCCCAUUUAACUUCUCCAGCCUUUCUCUUCAACUUUUAAGCUUGGAAUACAAUAUGUUCGGCAAGGUAUUGCCACAAAACAUUAGUGAUAUGGUACCUAAUCUCCAAAUUCUUCGCUUGGAUUACAAUAUGUUCCAAGGUCAAAUCCCAUCUUCUCUAGGAAAUGCUUUGCAGCUAACAGAAAUAAGUAUGGCAAACAACUACUUCACCGGGCAAAUUCCUAGCUCUUUCGGAAAGCUUUCUAAACUCUCCUAUAUUAGUCUCGAAAAUAAUAGCCUAGAGGCUUCUGAUGGCCAAGGCUGGGAGUUCCUACACGCGUUGAGAAACUGUAGUAAUCUAGAACUGUUGUCACUGGCUCAAAAUCAGCUACAAGGAGAAAUACCGAAUUCAAUUGGGGACCUUCCGCUCAAACUUCAACAGCUAGUGCUGAGUGAAAAUAAGCUAUCAGGAGAAGUUCCAGCAAGCAUAGGAAACCUUCAGGGCCUGUUUAGGUUAAGUCUAGAUUUGAACAAUCUUACUGGCAAAAUAGAUGAGUGGGUUCCAAAGCUUACAAAACUGCAAAAAUUACUUCUCCACAGGAACAACUUUAGCGGGUCGAUUCCAUCGUCUAUAGCAGAGCUUCCUCGUUUGUCAACGCUUUCACUAGCAUAUAAUGCAUUUGAUGGUCCCAUACCAUCCUCAUUGGGAAACCUUUCAGGACUCCAGAAGUUAUAUCUAAGUCAUAAUAAUCUCGAAGGUGUCAUACCUCCAGAGCUUAGUUACCUUAAACAACUAAUAAAUCUAAGUUUAUCAGAAAACAAGCUUACUGGGGAGAUCCCUGGCACUUUGAGCCAGUGUAAAGACCUGGCAAACAUCCAAAUGGGCAAUAACUUCCUUACUGGCAAUAUCCCAGUAACUUUUGGCGACCUAAAGAGCCUGGGCGUACUCAAUCUUUCCCAUAACAGCUUGUCGGGCACAAUUCCGACUACACUAAAUGAUCUACCAGUCAUGAGCAAACUGGACCUUUCAUACAAUCGUCUCCAAGG